UCUCACAUGCUUAAGUUGUUCUUAACAAAGGUGUCAGGACUUUCAGCAUUCAUCCAUGCGCACAGUCCUCUGUCUCAUGUUUAAGUUACAAGGCAUGUCACUGCACACAUGGGACAGAAACCACAGUUCAAGUCUCGAAGCUUAAACCAUCUGGUUUCAGUUAGCAACACAGGUCCAACCAAAUGAAGUUUUCUUUUUUCUUUUUGAAGUUUCCGACCCAGGCCAAAUGCUAUUCUCAAAUCAGUUUUUUUAUCUCCGAAACUUGAUUUCGCCUCACAGAGGACAUCUGAAGCUACACUAAAUUUAGCUCAAUUAACCGAGUAAUGUACAGAUGUAGGUUCAUAUGGGGGAAAAGAAAAUACAGUUAUACAAAUUAGUUCAUGGCAACAUAUUUUACUGCAGCUGCACAAGCUAUGACAAACUGAUGAGGAGUUGUGGAUCAGAAUGAAAGAUCAGUAUCAGAAAGAAAAGAAUAACUUGCUAGAAUGUACAAUAUUAUUAGUUUCUUUGAAAAAUAGUAAAUAUAUCCUUUAUCACUAUUGGACAAUACCAUACUAUAUAAUCUACUGCAACUUUGCAGAAUGUAACAAAAUACUUCAAACACAAACAUGCUUACCUGAAAAGACAACCAAACAAAGCAAACCUAUGUGAAAAAUCCUGUUGAGAGUCAGAUAAUCUAGACAGGUUCACUAAUCUCAGUAUUUUAGACCCAUCACAAAGCUCUCAUUUCCCCCAGUUUGGCGGUGAUGACCAAAAUGCCAAAUGGAGUUCUAUUGGUCAUUUGGGUUACUGAGUUGUUGCGGUAAAUUCUGCAAAUAGUAGACAGGCGGGUUUAUGUAACCUUCUGGUGACUGGACAAGAGAGGAUGUGAGAUGUAAGGAUUGUCUAUAUCUGACUUGCUUGCUUUGACUCACGGUGCUAACACCAAUGACUGGGUUAAUGUUUGUGAAUACAGGCAUAGAUCCAUCAACACUCCCUUUUGGCAAAAUCUGGAUUGGCGAUGGAAGGCAGUAAAAUGGCCUUGGCGCUGUAGUGUUUGGAACUGAGAUUGAUGCAGGAUAGGUUCCAGUGGGAAGAAGCAAACCGACUUGAGGCCCACUUCUGAAUACAGGAGAGUCCUUCAUCAUCAUAACUUCAUUCAUCAUGUAGGCAGGGUGGUGCAUGACAGGAGCAACAUUUCUGUAUGGUUUCUGCAGAGAUUGAUGAUUAAAUUGCACCAUGGAACCACCGUGAAAUGGAGGCCCAACAAAGUUGCCAGCUUGAACACUUGGAAUAGGAAUUUGGUGACUCGUUAUUGCUGGAGUUCUGUUUAUAAAUGCAGAAUCACUAUGUUGGUAGUUUGGAGACAUGAAACCAACAGGUGCCAUGUAAUUCCCUCUCGGCGCGUACUCUGAACUUGGUGCUUGAGGAUGCCCGCUCUCCUGGCUGUUCAUCACCAUCAAGUUCUUGCCCAUCAGUCUCAACAUAGGACUUGGUGGUGAAGGAGUCGGAGUUUGUAAUGAUGGUCUGAUAUAAUUUGCCGUGUCAGAUGGGAAGCACAUGGUAGAUUCAGUUGAAACUUUGCUAGCUGAUGGCUGAUCAUGCAAAUCUAAGCAAGGGUUUGCCUUCCUGCCGGUUCUUUGGUAUGAUCUGAAAGAUGAUGAUGCCCGCAAACCAAUGUCCAAUUGUGGAACCUGCUCUUUAGUAAAAGUCAAUGAUCUGGCUGUUGAAGUUUCAUGGUGUGCCUGAGACUCCCUAGAGAUGCUUGCCUGACAUGAGCAACAAUAGUGCUUCUCGUUGGGCAAAUGUUCACCUUCUCUUGCAAGAGGCAUCGACUUUGUUUCUUUAUUUGAGCUCCCAGACAUGUUCUCCUGAAUAGUCCUAACAUCUACAGUCGAUGGACCUGGUUCCGACUCUUUAAUGCUCGAGUCCUUCAAAGCAAUGGGAGGAGGCAUAGUCGAGGCAAUUGAAAUAGGAGAGUCAGAUAAGUCCCGGUCAAAUGCCAAAAAGCCGUGAUCUUGAUUAAAGUCGUCUCUGUUCGAUGUUAUUGACGAGUUAUCCUGAGGAGUUGUGAUAGCCAUGUCCCUGUUAUUAGUGAAGGAGGCACUAGAUUCCUUAGUUGAAGCUGCAUUUGUUUGCCGCUCCCCCAUCUCAUUAUUAGCAACAAUGUUGGAUACAUGAGUAUGAUGUGUUGAUUGCUCAGUGGAGCAUGGAUCCUCCCUUGCUACAUUACCUUUGGCCAAAACGUCGUCAUCUGUAUUGCUAUUUUCAGGGCUCAAAGAACCACUACUUAUUACACUGCAACAGUCCUCGUGGGUAUUUCUGGAGGCUGAAGCAUAUUGCACUCGAGUUGCAGGUUCUUCACCUUCAAAAUCCAUAUUGGUAUCUGUUGUUUGCUGUGCCACAUCAUAUUGAUCAUUCCCUUGCCCCAAUGCUGACACAUCAAUUCCGUAAGAGACGCCAUUAUCUGCAGUAUCUUCUUGACUACGCUUUACAACCUUCUUAGGGGUGUCAUUAUUAGUUACACCAAACUUCUUAUUGACAUGUCUGUGAUCAAGUUCAUGCUGUUGACCAAAACCAUGAACUAACCCACUAAUAAAUGGUGAAAAUUCACGCUUGCGAGCCCUCGGUACAGAUCUGUGCUUCCGUAACACCUUGGAAGUAGAGGCUACCCUAUUUGGGUCAUAACUCGGUCUUGUAUUGGAGAUGGAAAGACGAUGAACUCCAGAGCUUUUCAGCAAGGUGGAAUUCCUCGCUUUAUCAUAAUUGUCAGACGUAUAAGCUUCUCUUCUUCCAAUCUCCUUAAUUUUCCGCUUUGCAAGAGCAGCAGCUGAUCUAGGUACUUUUGGCAUAACACUGCUGGAUGAGAGGUUAUUUGAUGACCAUCUAGGAAUUGAUCCGAGUAAUUUCGAAGAACCAUUUCCCCGAUCAUCAUCACUAGCUUCCAAAGUGAUGGCCAUCUCUUCUGGUGACUUUGGAGAAAAUGCCUGUGUACUAUCUGAUGCUUUACUAUCAAGCUUUCUGCUAAAAUUCUUAGCAAUAUCCACACGUUUAGAGCACACCCGUUGCUUUAUAGUUUCCAAACCACCACAACUGGUGCUUUCAGCAGGUUUCCUUGUAUGCAUGGCAGGUUCCUCCUCAGAGGUGUAAUCGUGCAUAUCUCCAUCUGGGUAUGCUUGAUCCUGGACAUGUCUCACAAGAAUAAAAUGGAAUGUUAGAACAUAAAUAUAACUAAAUGAAAGACAAAACCAACAUGAUAUGCAACUAAAAAAGGAUUUGGCAAAUAAAUUCAGCAACAUCAUCAAGUCCACCAACCAACAUGGGCAUCUAUAAAUUAAUACUCCUGAUUCAUGAAAUAAACUAACCAAUGGAGAAUACAUUUUGAAUGCUACCAUGACGUAUCAAACUUACAGAGUAGAUAUCUCAAUUAAAAUAGCAGGAAUGUCAAUCCAAAGAAUCAGAACCAUAAUCUAAGAGGUGUACAAAAUUAUGGGUCAUGCGUGCAAACUCCAUGGAAUCCAAAUGGUUUAGGUCAACAAGCUAAACACAGUACUUCAACUCAAGUAAAAAAAUACACGCAACAAACCAAUUAGAUUGCAUACCUGGGAAUUAAAAUGGUUUAGUCUGUUGAACUUCUUUCCAUGUACCUUGAACUUUUCAUUCCUAAAAGUUUUAGAUUCCAAGAACGUCUUGGUCAUCGAUAUACUCUUUCCAGUCUCGUGCUUUGCAACUUUCUUUAAACUAAGUUUAUCCCUGAAUACCAAAGGUGCAUCACUACACUUGGAUAAAAUUCUGAUUUUUAUGCCAUUUGAAUCAACAUAGACAUCUCGAUCUCUUUCAUCAUCUCUUGCCUCAAAUGGCACCACUUCCGGGCUUCGUUUCUUAGUGCAAACCUCCUUGUUAGAGGUUCGCAAAGACCAUUCAAUAGCCCAGUUAGUCCCAUUCCUCCGAUCAAGGUCUUCGAGAGUGUACGGGAGGGCUGUCUUGUAAAUUUCCACCAUCAAUUGCUUCUUCCUCUGCUUCACUUUUGGCUUCACAAUAACUGUCUCUACUACUAGCUCAGUAUUAGACUCCGCAUAAAGGCACUGAUCUAUGUGUGCAUUCAAAGUGGUGUUCGAUGUGGAAGAAAACACUUUACAAACAGGACAGGUUUUCCAAGCCUUUGGGUCAGAAACUGAGCUAGAGUUGGAGGAUACAUCUUUUCUCUGACGAAUAUUUGUCACAGAACCUGACCUGACUAUCAAGUUGCACUUCUUUUCUGAAGUCUCAUGUGAUGAGCCAAGAUUUUUCAACCGACAAGAGGGUACGGCAACCCCUAUUCGUCGCAUUGCUUUGGUGCAAAAUUUAUCUUGCUGAUCUGCUUGUAUAAACUCAGUAGUAUGGCUUGGUUCAUUUGUAUUUCUACCUUCUUCAGUAGCAGUCUUCCCCUCCUCCUUUGGUGUGUAUUGAGAUAGACCAAGUGACUCGUCUACCGAUCGACAUGACUGGAAGUUGAUAGCAGUUGUAUUCACAUGUGAAGAACUUGCAUCUUUAAUCUUCACUAAACCAGCAGAAGCGUCGACUUCUGAGCACACAGCAGAUUGCUCAAAGUGUAUGCAAGUAUACGAAAACCUUGAUCGAAUCAAACCAGGAGGCUCAAAUGGAGGCAGUACAUCCUUAACAUCACAAUUCAAGCAAAGCUCCAAUGACUCUGGAUGGAAAGGCCAACUUCUCUUGAUGCCUUUGCUCCUCGAAUCCAAAACAUAAUCUCUGGAAAUAGAAAAACACUGACCCAUUAGCAUAGCAUAUACAGGGGGAAACAUUUCAUUCACUUGUUUUGGUUUAAUUAAAUUUAAAUCUAAAUGUGCUAGCAUAGAUAUAUGCCCAACUAGCCCAACCUGAACUACAGUAGAAUAUAUCUUGUAGUGUCACAGCGGUAAGGGGAUUUAGUUGGGAGGGUCAGCUUCUGGGUUUUCUUUUCUGAAGAAACAGCCACAACAUACCAUUUAUUACCAAAAGUAGUCAAGAAGAAGUCGACCGACGAAUACAAGGUAAACAACGAAACACUUAGGACGAGAGAUGAGGGAAGGCAGCGACCUAGGAAGAAAAAUGAGAAAACGGUGGUACAUCGUUUGAGCCACACGAGCCAGCCAAGCCUGGGAGCCCCUGCCUUUGAGCCCAUGGCUGCUUCUCCGUUGACUAGCUUUGUGCCCGUGCUUUGCUACGGAUCGUCAAGAAAAGAAAAUUUACAACUGAAGACAACAUGAUAGUCAGCCUAUGAACCAAUGCCAUAAAGCCUGAUGAUAGGCUUUGCUGAAUUUGAACUCUGAACACAAACUCAUGGAGAUUGGAGAGGAAAGGCAGCAGCAGAGACUAGGUAAGGAAGAUUUAUGACUUAAAAGUUUUUAAGUCAUGGAACUUAAAGUUUUAAGUCAUGGAUUUGUACAAUCUACUUGUCAGGGGUGACAAGAGAAGGGUUAGGAAGAAGUGAACGGACAACCACCAACUCUAAACUUUAUAAGUAGGAAAGAUACUCAGAAGAAUCCUAUUUGCCACUAUCCCCAAAGAGUAAGCAUCAUCAGCGAUGUGCACCACUACAGAUCAGGUUAUCACAAACGGUAUGUCACAGACAGCUUGCCGGAACUGUUUGUGAUAAUCGAAGUCACCAACAGUAAUUUUGUCACGCAGUUUUGUUUUAUAAAAUCGUUCUGUGAUAUAGGACAUCACAUGGCUGCAAUGACAAAUAACACAUCACACGGUUUCUUUUUCAAAAUCCAUAUGUGAUGUGUAGACCAUCAGACUGUUUUCCCAUAUGUCACACUGUGGCCUACCAAGGCUCAAAUAACAGCCAAUUCGCUGCGUGGCUGCCCUCAUAUAUAAACCAAUCCCCUUCUGCCCCCACCACCAGCACGUUCACCAGCGCUUGAGAUUGCAUUUCAAAAAGAAUCUAUACACUCAAUAAGCCAGAACGGGAAGAUUCAACUGCAAAAAGAACUGGUAUGGUGUGAUAAGAGGCCUAUUCUCAAUAAUGACCAACGCAUGUAGAUGUAGCUCAGCACAUUCAUGGGGGAGGGAUGGUGCGUUUCACCCAUCGGAGAUAAGGCCUUCUACACUAGUGAUGGUUGUCAUUUCGCAUGUCAGGAGACCAUGUUCAACAUGAGUAGGCUAGACCAAAUUACAAAAAAUCACCACACUGCGAGCGCAAAUGGGCAACAGAUAAGAAAGUGGGACGCAUUCCCAAUGAUAUUUCGUUGUAGGAGAGACGAUAUUUUGUAGUAGAAGGGAGACCACUUAUUGUCGGGAAUGCCUUUUCACUCAGGCAUGUCCGAACUAGUGAACCAAGAUUUGGAUCCACUCCUGCGCAAAAUGCGCCCUAUACACUGGUAUGAUUUGGCUGAGUAGGCGCGUUUGCAGUGGCAUUCCAUAUAUAAUCAGAUCUCCACAACACUAUCAAGCGCAUUGACACUUCUUCUCUUUUGAAUCCACAUGCCACUCAUGGUAUUGGUAAGACUGUACAUAGCAGAUGUAAACCACAUGCGCACUUUAAUAAAUGUCUCUCCUCAAAAUAAGAAGAAAAUGUGAGAAUUGAAAAAUCUUCAAGAAACCGAAAUCUCCGUAUCAAUUUAUCGCACAACACACCAUGAAGUAUGGAAAUCAGAAAAAAAUUAUUAGUGUGGUUGUGUGCAUCCUCCAGAUGUAGAGGUCGGAGAAAAUGAAAUUCUUCCUUUUUCCAAAAAACAAAAAGAAUAUUAGUAGCACACAAUUGACAAAGAUUCAUGAAACAAGAAAUCAUUUUGCUAUCAGUUCUUCUUGCCAGUUCUUGCCCCAUACCCCGCAGGCCCGCACCCCAUCAACACAUACAACGACCAGUCCACAAUAGGAAACCCCAUGAAAGCAACAGUUUGUACCAGCCAUCUAUCAUCCCACCCCUCAAAGCUGCUGCCAAUAAUUAAUCCAUGCGUACGCAUCAGAAAUUAAGACAUAAACCACCAUUAAGAACUCCAUAAACCCCAAACUGUUAAUCCAUAUCGUCAUUACGAAAUCAAUAAUUAGAAGAGGUGGCCCUUCUCACCUUAUGGAGAACUUGGGGCACGGUGGGAUAAGAUCUGCGUGAUCUUGGCACUCCAGCGAGGGCGUGUCAGCGGCAAACGUCACUGGAUCAGCACCAACAGCAGCCCCAGCCACAGACUUGGAGGAGUAUGAGGGGCCUGAAGGAUGCCCGCUGGGUAACAUCGAUCUGGCGAAUGCAACGAGGUGGUAAUUAAGUUCAGCAGGUCGGAAGCAAGAAUCAUUGCUUCAUUGGUUGCUACCUCAUGAUGCACCUGAAAAUAUGAGAAACGACGGGCCCAUGUUAUUUAAUGUCCAGCCAUCAGACGAGCACUUCUCGGGAAAUCCGGCGUGUAAUUUUAUGUGGAAGGGAGCUGUGAGAGAUAAUGAAAGCACCGAAGAGGUAGAGAGAAGAUGAGAGACGGUGGAGUAGAUGUUGUGAGAUUAGCCGAAAGCACAUGAAAUAUCAGUAGUCCAAAGCGCACGGGAGGUGGGCAAAUCACAAAGCAGAUUAGUCGGAUGCUUACAAAGAUCACAGGGCUCUUGCAAGGAAGAUAAUAGUCCACUGGAGGUAACAAGACAUGAACAGUUGCUAAGCACUUAAGGUUAGCUUGUAUGGCAGUACUUUGUUGAUGGGGAAAUAAAUGGCAGAAAAACAAAUAGAGAACUAUAGAAGUGUAGAAGUGGUGAGAGAAGGCCUGGUAGUUUAGCUAGAAAUAUAUGAGAAGAGAAAUCAAUAAAAUAAGGGAUUUUGCUGCUAAUCUCAGCCUCUUUGCCUAAAAGGGGAUUUCUUCAGUUUGGAAAAAAUCAAGACUACUUAGCGAAGCACAAGAUUAGAGGGAAAGGCAUAAUCUGCACCAAAUCUGAGAAACUCAUGACCACGGGCGGAGGACUCAGUUACGAAUUGGGGAAGAUUAAGGAAAUGAAACGGGGAGCUAAGGGCGGUAUCCCUCUCAAUCCGCCCCGGUGGGGAUCAAAGGGGAUUGUUGAAAUUAUACUCGUAGUUCAAUUUCCCUCAAAUCCCCCUCAAUCCCCUCCUAUACCGGCCGGGAAUCUGAAACCGAACGAGGCCGAAUUCGUGGGGUGAUGGGAGGAGAAACGGUCGCGAGCGAGAGAAUCGAAGGGGAGAUAGAUACCUGCGGUGGAGUCGCUCGCGCGAGGAGGAAGACGAGAUAGGGGGUUCCGGCGCCCGGCAGCGGGAUGGGGAGGGAGGGGUGGCGGCGCUCGCGCGAGGAGGAAGACGAGCGCCGGAGCGAGGGGGCUGGGGCCUGGGGCGCUCGGCAGCGAGAUCGGCCAGACGGGGUUGGAAAGGUUGGCAAGCAAACAAAAAAUGAAAAAAGAAAGAAAGAUAAAUGAGCUCCGGCCCACAAAGAAGCACACUCAGAGCAUCUCCAAUGGUGCUUAAAAGGCAGUGCUUAAAGAAAAAAAACAGAUUUAUUUUGCCUAUUCAGCUGGACGGAGUGCUUGGAAGAGGCCAGAGGUGCUCUGUUUUGCUCCAAACGGUGCUCUGCCCCUGGCUCUGCUGCUCGCUCCCUCCAGCCUGAUGACCUGCUUCGUACUUGUUUUUAGGCAUUGUAAGUUAAAUACGCUGGCAGUCCAAUCAGUUGAGCCGUGGGAGCAUUUUAGUCCAAAUUCUUGAAAAUUGGGGUGGACUAGUCUCAAAAGUUGAUUUGCGGAUUUAUUAGUGCGCAUGGCCAAUAAGAAGGCGACACGUGGGCAGUUUAGUCGCGAUUACGAUUUUGCUAAAAAAAACCUGGACUGUAUUGAAAUUAAAGGCUCAAUUCAUAUCGGUUCGUCCUUAUUUCGUCUGUCCUUCGUCCCCCGCAGCCGCUCUGCUCUCUGUAGCCCCCCAUCUCUAACCCUAGAAUCUUCCCAGCGACCACCGUCUGGGACAAAUUGGCAGGGCGGCUUCCACAUACUCGGAGAGGACGAAUCUUGGGAUGGAGCGCGUUAGAGGCGGCAGGUUGGGAGUGGCGAUGUGCGACGGAGACGGAGGCGCGGGAGUCGCCGGCGGCAGCAAGAUGUGGAGUGCAGAGGACGGCGGCGGCUGGGCAAAGAUAACCAGCGAGGCAUACUGGGACCCAAGAGCAUGCUGCAAGGUAAUUUCUCAAUUUUUGGUUCGAUUUCAUGAAUCCCCAUGUUUUCUUCGGUUCAAUAUGGUUUCAAAUUUGAAUCCCCCUUUUCAGGAGAAUGUUAAGGUGCAUAAUGCUGAAAGUAAUGAAACAUCGAUUGUGAACAACAAUGUCAGGCUUUACACGAACAUGAUUGCUGCUUUGGAGGGAGAAAAUCUGUUGCUGAUACAGACUGUUAAGGAUCUGGAAAUUGAGAUGAAGAAGUUGAAGCUAGAGAAGAAGAUGAUGGAGAGGAGGCAUAGGGCAGAGAUUAGAGUUAGGGAUAGAAAAGAACUAGUCAUUGUGAUGGGAGCUGCAAUCUGUGUUCUUGGGUAUGCAUUAGCAUCUUUGUUUAGCAGUGUGAAAUGUACUUAAGUUGAUGUUUCAAAUCUUUGACAGUAUGUAGUUUAGUUUGAAUGAUGUUUGAAAUGAAGUAGUAUCAGUUAACAGCUAUGUUUGAAUGAUGUUUGACAUGAAGCAGUAUUAGUUAUGUUUGAAUGAUGUUUGAAAUGAAGCGGUAUUAGUUAAUAAGUUUCAUCCAUCCACUUAAUCAUCCAACACUUAAACUCAGAAUCCAUCAGUAACCUAGGUGCUCCCUUACAUCAUGUAUCCAUGAGGAUACCAAAAUAGACAUCAAAGUAACAGCAACAUCAAACUAAAUUGCAACUAGGAGGAAGAAAAAAACAUCAUUUUCAUCCAUCUACAUGUCAUGAGUUGGAGCAUUCUGUGUAACUGGUAUCUCUUCUUCAGCUACAGGUGCAUUCAGAUCUGGAAUAUAUUGUUCUCCUUGGCCAAAUAGCAAAUAGUGAAGUGAACCAGGUCCAGUGUUGUAUCUUCUUUUUGCCCUGGUUCUAGCUUCAGCCCUAGCAGUUGCAGUUCCAGAAGAACUUGAUGUUCUCUUCCUUGAUACAUUACCUCUUCCUUGGCCUCCACCAGCUGUUGAACUUGCUCUUCCUCUCCUUGCUGCUGUAUUUCCUCUUCCUUGGCCUCCACCAGCACUUGCUUGGGCAGUUGAUGUGCUUGCAUUUCCUAUCCAUGUCCAGCAUCAGCAUUGCUUGGUACUUCUCUUCCUUGUCCAGUUGUUGCAUUAGCUCUUCCGCUGCUUCCCCUGCCUCUCACAGUAAAGCUAGCAGCAGUUGCUGUAGUGGGCCUGUUAACAGGCAUUACUUCCCUUGCAUCCACAACAAAAGAGCUCUCCUCAGGGAAAGGAUCAAUGACCUGUCCACUGAGGCUUGAGCUUGUUCCUGUGCAAAUUAUAGAGUCUUCAAAAUAUAUUUAGUUGUUAUCAUUUUAUAUAAAUAAUUAUAAUAAUUGCAAUACUGUUGUACCUCUUGGCCCAUUCUAUAUAUCAUGCUAUCCAUCUGAUUCAAUGGAUCAAGGCUUUGGUUUGGCUCUUGUGGGAUGAUAUUCUGCAAAAUUGGAAGAUGUGUUAGUACAACAAAUGUAAUGAAUGUAAGAUGAAGAAAUUGAUCAAUUCAGACCUGCAGAAUGCUUGGAUCAUCAUAAUCUUCUGGAAGCACUGCUUCCCCAUCCCGCUCUUGUUCUUCCUGUUGCUGAGCCCAUCUCUGAUUGUCUUUUUUGUUAUGAUCAGGCCGGCCAUAGAUGGAGCAGUGCAUAGUAAGUCCAUGUCUUGUAAUGUAUCUGACACCAUUCUCCUUCUUCUCUUCUGGUUCUUUCUUCCUGUUCUUCUUUGGUCUGCCCAUAACUUUAGUGUACAGAGGUGGGUGAACUUUCACUGCGUUUGUUUUUUCCCAGAAAUUCCUGCCUCUGAGUGGGACCAGAUUAUAUCCAUGUGCUUGCAGAUAAGUAUCAAUCUUGUAGCACUGAUGAACCAGAUCAACAAGUUCAAUCCUAGAUUCUCUGCAACAGGCAAUAGCAUGAUGGCAUGGGAAACCACUGAGCUGCCAUCUUCUGCAAUCACAGGUUUUAGCCUUCAAAUUAACGGUGUACCCCCUCUCCAUCUCACUAGAUUUAACAUGAUAAAUUCCUUCACCAGCAUAAAGUACAAAGGUUUAUCUCCAACUCCUUCAACAUGAUUAGUGGAUAACAAGAACUUAGAACCAGGAUUUGCCCUCCUCAAUUCUUGUCCAUAGUCCCAUAAUAGACUGAACUGAGCAUCCUCAUCUCCAUGUAUCUGCUUCAAUGCCUCCCUUCUUGCCCUCCCAAGCUUCCACCUAUUUGGUACCAUUUUGUAUUCUCUCUGAACUUUUGCAGCAAAACCCUGCAAAUCCAGCUUCUUAUUAUCUCUGAACUCUUCUAUAAACCUGUCUGUAAGGAAUCUUGCUGUCAAGGUCUUCACAUCCCAUGCUUUCUGACAUUUAUGCCUUCCAUUGUAUUGCCUGAUGAUGAAACCACCACUUCUGCUGUCAAUGGUAGCCUUCAUGUACCAGGUGCACCCAGGCUUGCAUAUUGCUUCAAGUCUCCUGGUUUCAUUUCUAAGCUUCUCAAGUCUCACCCUGUUUCUGACACUAUAUGAUACCAAUGCUUUCCUUAGCUCUUUGACAUCAUUGAAUACCAUGCCUACUUUGAAUACUGGAGUGUCCAUGUCCACUUUAGCAUUAAAUUAGCAGUUAACAACUAUGAAAUUUCAGUCAAUUUCAAAUAAAAGCUACUUAAUUUCAGCAAGCAGGUAGGGUUUCACAGAUGCAACCAAAAUUUAAGCAUGUGAGCGAAACAUUUUAUCUCUGAACAUCUACUCUUAAUAAAAAAAACAGAGAUGAACAUGUAUGAAACAUCCGCCAAAUUCCCCAAAUUAUGCCCACUUCAACAGAUCGUCUCCGAAGGCGACUAACUGAAAACAUAUGACCUAAAGUCUCACAGCACAAAUGCGCCAUCACCCGUAACUUCGAUUUUGCGCCAGCAUUUGACCCUAACACUUACUCCCAAUCCGUUCCUAAAACCCUACUGUAAACCCCAACUAAACCGACGAGAUCACCCGAAAUCAACGCAAGACGAAGCGGUCGAUCUUACCGUACUCUGUCAACCCCGACUCCCAGUACUGGAGGCGCGGCUCCGGCUGCAUCGUCACGUCUCGCACUGGAGGAGGAGACGAUCGCCCGCGCCGUCGUCAUCGAGGGAGGCAGCAACGAAGAGUCAAGGGAGAUGAAUCGGUUAGGGCAUAAGAGUAAAAUGCGUCGGCUGGGGAAGGGGUUACUCGUAAAAAUAUCACUGCCUGCGUCAUCCGGGGCCUGCUGUUAAUUAGAUAAUACGCAGGGGCCUUUUUGCUAAAUGUACAAGUCGGCCAGACGGACGGCUGAUAUGAGGCCACGUGUCCUUUCGGACUAGAUUGGACUUUUUUGCUCCCACCUCUCAACUUUUCAUACUAGUCCACCCCAAUCUUCAAAAUGUUGGACUAAAAUGCUCCCACCGCUCAACUAGUUGGACUGCCAGUGUAUUUACCUCCACAUUUUAUUGUACGUUAAACUCUAACAUGUGAGAUGAUACUUGACAGGCACGUAGAUCAUUGCACAUGUUUCGAUGGAGUUUUCACAGUUUGCACCGUAGAGGUGGUUUUCUUCGGAUACUUCACCCGCCAAACAAUAGGCACGUAGAUCAUCGCACAUGUUUCGCGUCAAGUAUCAAUGAGGGUAACUACGCGACAAACCACACGGUGCCACCCCAAGUAUAUGCCCCCCUUUCACAGCCACACACAUGUCCCAUCCUUCAUUUAAUAUAUUUCUUUUAAUUAUGCCUUGCCUAAUUAACUAAGAGAGAGAAGAGAGAGAAGGCCAAACAUGUGGCUAUGAAGGGGGGGUGCAAAUACUUGGGGUAGCACAACCACCGCGUUAGUAACUACGCCUUUCUUGUUGGCACAUGUUAUUGUAACAUUGUGGAUGCCCUCAGGGCGCGAAAAGACUCUCAACAAAACGAUGGCCACUUCUGUUUUAAUAAAAGGACGCCGUUGCCAUGAAGCCUUCACAUCGGCGCUAAACAUGAUACUUGCCGCGAAACAUGUGCGAUGAUACUUGACAGGCACGUAGAUCAUCGCACAUGUUUCGAUGGAGUUUUUACAGUUUGCACCGUAGAUGUGGUUUUCAUCGGAUACUUCAGGCCCGUUUGGUUUAUGCCCAAUGUAAGCCUUACCAAAUCUUGACAAAAUUUGGCUUUCCAAUUAUUUGGUCAACAAUUCUUGAGCCCACAUUUGACCAAAGAUUUGGCAAAAAUCUGUGAGAGGAAUAGUUAGAAGGUCAUUGGCAACCAAAAUUUUGGCAACAAAACAAAUAUGCACUAAAUUUUAAUGGGUUGCCAAUAUUUUGGCAUGGCUAGAGUUGGCUCAAAACCAAACAGGCCCUUCACCCGCCAAACGACAGGCACGUAGAUCAUCGCACAUGUUCUGCGCCAAGUAUCAACGAGGGUAACUACGCCUUUCUUGUGGCACAACGCGGGAAUUACACCGGCCAAGAACCAGGCAACAUUAAGAUAACUAAUUCAUGGUCCAUCUGAAGAUGAUACAACUCCUCUUUCUCGGAAAAAAAACUGACAGCACAACAACAUUUCUGAUAAAAAAAAGAAAGAAACUGAUACCAGCUACCAAGAACUACAUAAACUCAACCUAAAACAAACUGCAGCAUAUAAACCAAGCAGGGUGAUGAUGAUUCCAGGAAGAAGAAAAACUGCAAUCAAGAAGUAAAGGGUGGAUUGUUUCCACGGUGUGCUUAUCAUCGAACGCUAAUUAACCAACUCAUCUAAUCCUCCUCCUCCCCUUUUAUUACCACUACAGUAUCUACAUCCGGUGCCCCAGGGGCAGCCUGUUCAUCAUCUGCUGAUACGCCGAGGCGCUGGAGUUGUUGUUGGACUCGUCCUUCACCUCGCCCUUGGGCACCCUGAACCCGGACCCGGCCGCCGUCUGAUCCAUGGCCUGCCGGUGCCUGAAGAGCGGGUGCAGCGAGCACGGGGACAGCAUCGGCAGCUUCAGCCCUUCCACGGCCGCCGGCAUCGGCAGGCUUGGCAGCGAUCCCGACGACGCGUAGCCGCCGACGCCGAGCGAGUACGGGAAGUUGCUCAUGGGCCCCAGCGGGUCCCUCGGCGGCAGGCCGAAGGGCGCGCCCAGCCGGCCCAUCAUCAGCCCGUCCUGCGCCAUCGACGGCGGCUCCGGCCUGCGCGCGUGGGCCAGCUGGGCCGCCGCGGAGCCCGAGGUCGCGUGGCCGCCACCGUUCCUGGCGGCCGGGACCUCGUGGUUGUGCUUCCCCUCGUACGUUGUGAUCACGGACUUGAGGUCGUGCGACGCACGCUCCACGUGCUUCCGCACCGAGCACCCCGGGUGCGUGCACUUGUAGUAGCUCCUGAAGAACAACACCCAGAAACGUAUAGGAAAAAGUGAAAUGAGUUCGCCGGCCAUUGCUGGAAAAAAAAUCUCUCAAUUUGAUUGUUUCGGACAAACUAACCUUGGGUUUGGGUUGCCUUUGACCACCUUCUGCCCGUACUUGCGCCAGCGGUAGCCGUCGUCCAGGAUGUCCACCUCGCUCGUCGUCUGGAUCACGACCCGUGGCUCGCGGACAGCUCUGGACGCGGUGCUCAUUUCAAUGGCGCACGACUCCAGCUUCCUGAAACAUUCAGAUAAGAAAUGGUUCAGCUCAUGGACUCCAACAGUCAACAGAGAUAAGUACUGACUAAGAUGGUGAGUGAGACCUUCUCUUGGACUCCAGUUCAUCUCCCUCGCCGGCGUCGGCAGCGCCCUGGUUGUGGCCCUGGGACAUGCUGCCAUGCGCGCGCACCCUGUCAUCCCCGUCCACCUCGUCAGACACCGCCGACGUGACAUCCACGCCCUCAGGGGACCCGAACCGGGUGGCGGUGCCGUCAUGGACCUGCAUCGAAGCCGACGAGUCGCAGAGCUCGCCUGGGGACGACGUCGCCUCCAGCCCAUCGCCGCCGCGCCAGUCCUGGACACCCAUGCCGCCGCCACCGUGCCACAACGGCCUCGCUUCCGCGUUCGGCUGCUGCGUGGCACCACCAGCAUUACCGUUAUUGUCGUUGUUGUUGUUGUUGUCGGCGGCGAUGUCCAUGUCACCGAACGGGUGGACCUGCGGGACGCCCGGCAGGCGGCGGCCCUGAGCGGCAGGCUUGGGGUGGUUGUGGGUGCCCUUGUAGAUGAUCUCCGUGACGUGGCCCUCGUGCGACCGCUCCACCUUCUUCUUCACCUGGCAGCUCUGGUGCGUGCACUUGUAGUAGCUCCGCGGGUACUCGCUGUGCUUCACCUGCUUCUGCCCGUACUUCCUCCAGCUGUACCCGUCCUCCGCCGGCGUGGCCGUGGCGGCGGUCGCCAUCGUCGCAGGGUUCGCUUCGCUGUCCGCCGCCGGUUGGCUGUGAUCGGGAGGCGAUCCGCUGUCUCUGCCCACAAUGGUGUCAGGUGCGAGACGGUUGCGCUUGUUGGAGUCAUGGUAGCUGCUCUUCAUUAGCUCUUGCCCGUUGAAAUAGACUUUGUUGCCCAGCGGGUUGGCGCCUUGUGUCGCCUGAAUGUUGGUUUCAGUCUUGACAGGAACAUCUCUGCUUGGUAAUGACGGAUGCUGGUUGCUGGGUAAAGUUUCCUGAAAGCAAAGGCAGUAAGUAAUGCAGAGUACCAAUUCGUAAGCAGCAAAAUCAUUCAUUUCAGAGAUUACAACUGACCAUUGAAGAGGUGCAUCACACUAGGGGUGAGGAAAUAUUCAAAAUUUAUGAUCAUGGCAAUAUGAUAUCAUCAACCACAGGAGGCAGCAAGUAUAAUGGAGAAAAGCAAUUCGUAAGCAACAUAUUCACUUCAGAGCUUACUGCGGAGUACUAAUAAUUCAAGAGGUUUCGGCAGAAAAGGAGAGUUAAUUCAGUGCAAAGUUCUGACAGAAUGCACAUGAAACUCCCUUAUUUAUCCAGUUUCAACAGAUUACAACAGAAGCCUGAAUCUUCCCAGGGUUAUCUGUACUCUUUACACUUACUCCAAUAUGUAUCAACGAUAAUGGUUAAAAGGGCGGUACCAGGAUUACUAGCCAGCAUCCAUUAACUAGCCAUAAAAAGACUGUUUAAAUAAGUAAGAUUACGGCGCCCACAACAGUUUGAAGAAACUAGUACAUUUAAAAAAAAACGUGAAGAAACUAGUACAUUAUCAGUGUGAAUUUGAUUGCAAGCAUAAAACCCACAUGAUGGCUAUAAUUUCCUUUCAAAAAAUCAGUGCAAGGACUGGUACCAUAAAUAAACAAUUUCAAAUGGCUGCUCACCUUCAUUUCUUCAGCAAUAUAACGUGAGGAUUUCAGGUCCAAAGACUUGAAAGAAAAUGCAGCAGGGCCAUCUUCAAUCGAGGGAGCUUCAAUUCUAGUCGGAUUAUUGUCAUCGGCAUCACCAAGCAUGAACAACUUCCCUGUGGUUGGCGAGGCUUGGCCCUGAUGCACAGCAUGCCAACAAAAAAAACAGCAUCGACGAAUAAGUGCUAGCUUCUGACGGUGGAAAUCACAACAAAAAAAGAAAGAAAGAAAAAAAAAGAAACGAGAACAGAGCCCGUACCAUUGCAUUGGAGAGGAAGACCGGCGAUUCCAACAGCGACGCGGGGCUGAGGCCCGGCGGGACGGUAAAGAUAGGCGGCUGAACCCCCGACUGCUCACUGUCAUCUCCGGCCGGAGUGGCGAACGGCAUGCUGAGCUUGGGGACGCUGAACCCGUUUCUCGCCUGCAUCCUCUCGGAGAGGCUGCUGCUGGAACCGGACAUCCGGCCGCCGAAGUGCGGCGUCAAUUGCGCCGGCUUCCCUUCGUCCUGAGGCGAACCCACGGCCACAGACAGGCCGUGCUUCUCGAACCCGGCCUCGUUGCCGCUGCCGUCCUCCGCCAAGGGAUCCGGGGGGAACUGGUCGGUCAGGAAGCUCGGCAUCAGGCAUUCUGGGCCUGGGUUAGGGUGCUGCUUCCACUGCUCCAUGGCCAUGGCUAUGUGGGUGUGGCCGCCGUCCAUCUCAGCAUGGAGUUGCUCAACCUGGCGUAGAAUUAAUUGAGUUAGGCAACAUAAAAAAAGAUGCAUAUAUCGGUGAUAAAAAAAAGAAUCCAGGAAUGUAUUGACAGGGCGACAGGAAUGAUCCUUCGUUUUGUUGAGCAGAAACAUUUCGAAUCGAGUUGUACAAAUACUAGUAUCAAACAAACCAAAGAACAAAGGCUGUUAGUCUCACAAAAGCCUUGAGCACAAACACCAUAAGGAAUUAAGGAUGAAGAAGGACUCUUGAUUCCAAAAUCUUGGCCCUGUGAAGUCUGAAGUUGCUUCCAAAACUGAAACCAUAGGAGACCACAACUCGUAACAUCAAAAGGUUGGUGGAAUGACCGGCACAGUCAUCCAGAAAGGAGUUGGAAACCAAAAGGGAAGGAAAUAAAAGGGAACUACUCGUAACAUCAAAAGAGUACUAGUUGCUGUCCCAUCUUAUUCACUUGAAGCACAGAAAAAGAAGACGCCAUGGACCCCUCAACAGCGUGCUACCACAAGGCACGGAGCUCAAGGUGCAUAACAACAGGGAACAACUUUUCUACCACAAGCCCUUAAAAAUUUACAGAACUCCUAGUAUAAGAUUUUGCUGAAACUGGUGCAUAUUUAUUUAUAAGAGAGGACGACCGGAGUAAUAAGAAACAGGGAGUCGAGAACGCAGUGGUGAUCCAAACAUCGUCUGACAAAGAAAACAAAAUAUCACCCUUUUACCAGAAAAAAUGAUUUAAAUCGUCUCCAAGAUGGGGAAAUAAAGGAUCGUUAGAAGAUUUCAUUUUGCGAGUUGCAGAGAUGAACGCAUCGCGGAUUACGAGAGAAACACGGAGUGAAAGAAGCAAACCAGAGAUCAGAAAGGAGAAGGCAGACAAACAAAUCAGGAUAAUUCAACAUUCGAAUUUCAGCCCAUCUCAGAACAACGAGGCAGACAACAAAGGCAGUUUUAUUCGGGAAAAUUAAACGAACAUGGAUCAGAAACGAUGCACAAUACGCGGAGAAAAAAUCAACAAAAUCCGACGAAGGCGCAUUCUAAAAAAACAGGGAAUGUCCAUUUCCAGUUCUCCACAACCCCAAACUGUGUUUCUCUUUCCAUGAAGGGAAUCGAAUCAGGAUGCAGAACGACGGGAUCUUAUCAUAACAGAACAAAUUCAGAUCACAAAGAACACAUGCCAAAAUGCAGAGGGGAAUAAACCAAAUCUUCCUCGCAGGAACAAAGACUGCAUGCCCCCUGCGAAUGGCAGGAAAACCAUCGAGAGAGAUAAAUUAAGAAACAUUGCAGAGAAACCGGAAACGAACCUUUGUGUGUGAUUACAGGGAAACGCCGAUGGAGGAGCAAGAUCGCAGGAGGCCUCCCCGAUGGCUCAGUCCACCAAUAGCCAAGAGCAGCACAGAAGGAACAAAACACAAGGAUCAGAGACAAAUGAUGAGCUGCAGCCGCAGGAGUCAGGAAAAGAAGGUUCCUCCUGCCAUUAUUACUCGGCUCCCUCUCCCUGUAUGUCAUUCUCUCUCAUCCCUCCCACACAGUUCUUUUAUCCUAGAGAGAGAGGGGAGAAGAAGAAACGGAAACGGAGCAGAGAGAGAGGAGGGGCGGUUUGACCAAGAAGGUUGUAGAUGUGCAGAGGGAUUCGUUGGAACCCGGGAGGGACGAUGGACAGAGGAGAGAGAAACAUAGCAUUGAUGGCAUGCUAGCCGUUCAUCUCUCUCCUGCCAUUUGCGAAUUUUCUUCUUUCUUUGAAAAAGAAACUGAACCUUUUCUUGUGUCUCCCGUUUUGUUUUGUUUUGUUUUGUUUUGUUUGCCAGCCUUGGAUUUCUCACAAUGUAUGGAUCCCAAUUUACCAGCUUGAUAGUCCAUAAAUAAUAAAUAAAUUUCUUAAUCUCAUAAGAUACACUCGUUUAUAUAUAAGCGUAACGUUAAGAUUUGAACUUUUCUGGAGUGAGCUGUAUCCAAAUUUACCAACUUUAUAAUCCAUAAAUGAUAAAUAAAUUUGUUAAUCUCAAAAAAUAUACUCGUUUAUAUAUAAACGUAACGUCAAGAUUUGAACUUUUUUAGACUGAGUUGUGCUUUGUAAUUUCGCUAGCUCACCAAGAAUGGUUUUUCUAGGUGUUUUUAUUAUUAAAAAAUGAAGUACUCCCUCCGUCCAACAAAGGAUGUCUCAACUUUGAUCAAAUUUAAAUACAUCUAUAAACUAAGUCAUGUCUAGAUACAUCCAAAUUUUGAAAAACUUGAGACAUAUUUUGUUGGACGGAGGGACUAGAGGUUUUAACAGCUGUCAUAUUUGUCGUGAGUCGACGCACACGAUGGUACUUCUGGUGGUCCUAUACUAGUGUUACCAAUGUGCAAUACAGCUAUUUCAAUGCACUCCCUGUUCUACUUUAGAGCCGUUUGUUUUGCAAAUACCAAGAAGCGAUGGAAUUUUUUCUAUUUUACCUCUAAUUAAUACGUAUAAUUUGUUGUGCAUUAUCUUUUGCUGGAUUUGGUUGUACGCACAACGUUUACUCGAUCAAACCGCGUCUCUCUCAUCUACUCGGUCAAACUUCGACACCAACAUUUAUUGGUAAAACCGCGUCUAACACCACGCCGGCUCACGUCUCUCCCCUUACCUUUGGACGCAUUCACCAUGCACAAGAACUGGCCAGUACAUCCAUUUGAAAAUAUGUUUUAUAUAUCUAAAUUAAUUUCAUUACUUAAGAUGCAUGGUGGUAGAAAGAUCGUGAUUUUUUACACAUUUAUCUGGAUUUUUUCAAUUAUGAGGUAUUUUAUAUGGAUAUAAAACCCCAUUUCCUUUAUUUACUCUUCAUCCAACCUCACUUCUUAUGUAUAGUCCAUAUAUGAUAAAUAAAUUUCUUAAUUUCAUAAGAUACACUCGUUUAUAUAUAAGCGUAACAUUAAUAUUUGAACUUUUCUGGAGUGAACUGUAUCCAAAAUUUACCAACUCUAUAAUCCAUAAAUGAUAAAUAAAUUUGUUAAUCUCACAAGAUAUACUCGUUUAUAUAUAAAAGUAACAUCAAGAUUUGAACUUUUCUAGAGUGAGUUGUGCUUCAUAAUUUCACUAGCUCACCAAGAAUGGUUUUUCUCGGUGUUUUUUAUUAUUAAAAAGAUGAAGUAGAGGUUUUAGCAGCUGUCAUAUUUGUCGUGAGUCGACGCACACAAUGGUACUUCUGGUGGUCCUAUAAUAGCGUUACCAAUGUGCGAUACAUUUGUUUCAGUGCACUCCUUGUUCUAUUUUAGAGCCGUUUGUUUUGCAAUAACAAAAAGCGAGGGAUUUUUUUCUAUUUUACCUCUAAUUAAUACGUAUAAUUUGUUGUACAAUAUAUUUUGCUGGAUUUGGCUGUACGCACAACUUUAACUCGAUCAAAGCGUGUCUCUCUCGUCUACUCGGUCAAACUUCGACACCAACAUUUAUUUCUAAAACCGCAUCUAACGCCACGCCGGCUCAUGUCUCUCCGCCCCUUACCUUUGGCUGCAUUCGCCGUGCAAGCAAUGGCCAGUACAUCCAUUUGAAAAUAUGUUUUUAUAUAUCCAAAUUAAUUGCAUUCUUUUAAGAUGCUUGGUGGUAGAAAGAUCAUGCUUUUUAUACACAUUUAUCUGGAUUUUUUCAAUUACGAGGUAUUUAUAUGGAUAUAAAAGCUCAUUUCAUUUAUUUACUCUCCAUCCAACGUCACUGCUUAUGUAUUGCAGACUACCGAUACACUUCAGACUUAGAACAUUGAAAUUACACUCGCGCUGUCAAAGAAGCUCCUAGCAAGAAAUUAUGGAAUUGCGAAAACACAAAACCAUAAAAGUUAUAUGAUAAAGAUACAAUGAUUUGUCAAAUCCCAUGGGAAACAUAAACGAAUCUUAAAUGUUAAAUGGAUUUUCUGGUUUAUUCAGAAGAGAAGAACCGUCAUACACGACACAAAUAAACUUAUCGAUCGGGAGAUCUAACAAGGACAUUAGGAUUUUUUUUCGAUACAAAAGUUCCUACAGAAAAGUAACACUUUAGAGUGAUGUUCUACAAGCUCCUUUUUGAAUUUAGGAUGUUCCGUAAGAAUUUUAUAAAAUUCCAAGCCCAAUGAAUUUUCUAUAGUAUUUCUUUGAACCGUGCUGACUCAUUUACAAGUACUCCCACUAUUCCUCAAAUUAAGGCAUAUAUCGUUUUCUUUGACCGAGCGUUUGACCAAAGAUUAUUCCAUCAACGUGUGACUUGUGCGAUAUAAAUCAUAAUCAUAAACAAGUACUUUUGAAUACGAAUCCAAUGAUAUCGAUUUUAUUUCACAAAAUAUAUAUAUAUAUAUAUAUAUAUAUAUAUUAAUAGACUAAAUCUUGGUUAAUGGCUCGGUCAAAGUAAACAAUAUACGCCCUAAUUUUAGGAACGGAUGGGAGUAAUUUGCAAGGCUUUCUGACGAAAUCGAGGUGUAUUUGCUUACGUAGGUGGAACUAUGCAUGGAUCCCGCUGAGGGCCGGGAACUCUUUCUACGCUUGGGUUUGGGCAUCUAUUUUGUUGAUCGUGCCAUAUAACCAGGUCUUUUAUCCCGUUGUUUACAGUUGUGUCCUAUCUAGUUUGCAUGAUCUGAUCUGCUUUACUUUUCCAUACCAUUAUUUUUUAUUAACUUAAUAUUGAAAUUGUCUAAUUGUUUAAUGGCAAGUAUCCAGUGCAAACUUGCAAACUAUCCUCGUAAAUAACGCACAACUCUGAUCCAAUCCGUGCCGUUUUAGCCCAAUGGUCCACUGGAAUAGCUUGCAAGUUUGCAUGGAAUGAGAGUUUUCGGCGGAUAUGUGGCCUUUUGUUUAACAGAUUCAACUUAACGAAUGAUUAGUGCAACAACACAUGAAUUGUUUGAUUUACUCCAGUGUUAAUAUCUCCAUUUUGAACUUUGACCAAUGAUUAACCUAACUACACGUGUAGUUGCUAAUUUACAGAAAAUUUUGGGAUUAUUUAGCUCUCCGCUAGAAGUUUGGGUUGCAUCCAGUACAAGUUAUCUCAGGUGACGCAUGAUACCAAAAAAACAAGAACAAACCAAGACAAGUAUAUAACGAGGACACGACACGCGGGGAUCCACUAAGUAGCAACACGUUUCUUGAGAAAAGUAGAUCUCCAAAUGGUUCGUACUAUGAUCCAUCUUCAACUCUUCAUUUCCGUGCCCGCGGAAACGGGUGUGACCGCAAAUUUAGUCCCAAACGGCUAGUCGAUCCCAAUAUGCCGAAACUAGUUGUUGCGCAUCUCGAUCCACAUAAAAAACCCUGACGGAGUGCCGUGCGCGCAGAUAGAGGUACACACACGAAUCCUUAAUUUCAGUUCACCCAAACAUUACGGCAGUGCGGGAUCAAAAUCUCUCCUCAGGAAACAGCACGGCCGAAAAGCCAUACGCGCGUACACGUUAAAGGCCGGGUUGAUCCGUACUACGUAAAUGUACGUACUCGCUCGGUUGGAGCUCCGGAAUUGAAAUGCGAGACGUUGGCUAGCUGGCUUAGCAAGCUGCAGUGCAGUAACCGUUGGCGUAUACGUAAUGCGUUUAACGUUAUGGCGAGCACGUUAAUGGCCUGGGCUUUGAUCCGUACGUGCAAGAAUCUUUGUACUACUGCCCACGGGCCACGAGUGACGUGCGUCGUAUCGUACCGACGGUAAGAGCUAGCAGCAGUAACUGCAUGGUUCCUUCUCUAGAUCAGAAUAGAUGUUGCUGCAGGGCCUGCAGCCGAGUGAGGACUGCGAGGAGUAAAAGAUGGGAGUACGAGCUAGGCAUUCUCGUCGUUUACAGUAUUGGAUUCGAUGAUCAAGACAUGAAUUGAUGGACCUGUCGCCGAUGAGUAAAGGCAGCAAAUACAGCCUGAUACAUUCUCCUUCGUUAAAUCCAAGUCCCCCCCUCCAGUACUCAAACUCAAGUUUCGUGCAGGGAGCCCAGAUUUCGUGUGUAUAUAUAUUAACCCAACGUACUACAAAUCUGUAAGCAAUGUGCAUUCUCCAUGCGUCGAAACCAGCUGCCGCUGUUAAUUCCGGCUGGAGAGAGAUUUCCUGAUCGAGAGCAGUAUUAGUACAUUCGACGAUCUGCAGUACUACCGUCUACAGGUGCGCCCGUUGGAGAAAAGCAAUAAACGCCAGGAGUGUGAACCCCAAGCUGCACGGCACGUGAGUAUACGUACGUACGUACACAUCCCCGUGUUUAAGACCGAGCCAACAGUCGCAUACCCGUACGGGCCGUACCGCACCAGAUUUACCACUGAUCCGAGAUCCCGACACGCAGUACUAGUACUACUUCUCUGCUACCUGUACACGGAAGUCCCCUGUGCACACAGCAGUUACUGCAGUUGCGUGGCGCAGCGCAGGCCUAGACUAGAAUCUGCCGCGCGACACGACGGGCGACCAUUGUCCGAUAGGCUCGAGAACCGAUCUCCCCUUAUCCAUGUGGCCAUGCCAAUCGCGUAUACUCUACCACCAGCCUUUCCGGAGAACCCAACAGUCCAUCCAUCAGAUCUCUCACGUGCCUGCCAAGGAGGGGAAGGGGACUGCUGCCGCUGCUCGAUGUCUGAACGUGCCUGUACCGUCUUCCCCUGCUGUGCGCCUGCGCUUUCCUGACCGGCCACCACGCGACAGACGGCAGAUCAAUCCCGGCUGAGCUCCACGCGAAUAUCACGCCGCUGCUUUGCUCCCCCGCAUAGCAAAAUCUGCCACAAGAAAGAGAGGGCGAUUCGGCGGGGCAGGGAGCAGCAAGCACCAUCGGCUCCUCGUCCUUCAUUCCUGCUCAUGCAUGCUGCGUUUCACUUUCACAGCAGUCCGUCCACCACAUGCAUUUCCCUCGUCUCUCUCGGCUACAAGCGGCGGAGGGCUUCUUGCCGUCCAGAAACCAACUGGAGCAAUUUCUUUCUUUCUUUUGGGCUAGUAUCGAGGUUGCGUGUGGUGCCUCAGCUUUGUGAUUUGCCUCGCUUCGGCUUCGAGGACCGUGCGCAAGGAUUUCCGUCGGCAGAUUAAACAAUGACGCAGUGUCGGGUAAAGGAGAACCAGGCUUGCUCUGUGAACUGGGAAAGAGAGCACUUGGAUAGCUUGAUCGAUUGGUUAGCUAUCCCUUUGGCAAUGAUUACAGUUCCAGCUUAGAUUUUGGUAAAUCUGGUCAUUUUGAUGCGAGCCUGAUGAACCCAUGGGCCAUGGGUUUCGUGUCAUCCAGUUGUUCCCGUCGCACGACCCUUCCGUGCACCCUCAAACCAUGUUAGAUGCUCACUUAUUUUUCUAGUAGUGUAUGUCUUUCCUUUUUCUUUUCGAAACCGGGAAUGUUUGUUUUUGGAGAAUCGUUACUUAAAUAAUUGAAGCUGUCUUGACAAGCUGGUUUAGUGGACUCCGUUCUCAACGUAGUUGUUGUGCUGGCCACUUCUCCUAGUCUUUCACAUCGCGAUGAUCACAUGCAGAGUAUUGUGUGCAUGCGAAAAUGCCUGCGGAGUACUCCCUUCGUACGUACGAGGCACUCAUCCUAAAAUUACAAAUUUAACUAGCAAAUAUAAAUUAUAUUUCAUAAAAAUAUAUAUCCUUAGAUUCGUAAUCAAAUGAACUUUCUAAUGAUAUAUCUUUUAGGUCAUAUAAUUUAUAUUUUGAUAGUUAAAUUGAUGAUCUUGAGACGCGUGCGUGUCUCAUAUAUUGGGACGGAGGAAGUAUCAAUUUGGGAUAGAGAAGAGAAGAGAAGAGACAAAAGUAAACUACCUCUGGACGGCUGAACGGUUGCAAUUUCAACUACUCGGCCCAAUACUACUUGGCGACCGGCCCAAUCUUAUGAACGGCCACCGGCCUCUUUCCACUCGAUACACCCGAUGAUGAUAAAACUUUCUAAAAAUUGUGAAAAUAGUUGAGAACAUUGACAUACCAUGAAUCUAUCAUUAUCCCAGAAUUAAAGACUCGACCUACAACUUGUUAAACAAAAAGACGAACAUGUUAUGAAUAGUUGUUGAUAAAAAUUGGGACACAACUCGGGCGAAAAGGUCCUCCGAUUUCCUAACAAUCACAAAAGUAAAUUUAUAAAUACGUCAUUGGAUCACCUAGCGACGGCAACAAGCGCCUGAACGAGCCAAAGACCACCAUCCUCGCCUCUAGUCUCACCAUCGGGGGCGGACAAAGCUUGCCAAAAGAGAACUUUGUUGUACUAGACGAUGGGGAAGUGGUUCUGCACUCCUGCUAAGGCCCCAGGAGACCAAGGCACUAGAACAGUAAUCAUCGAUAAAGAUGAAAAACUUAGGUUGGAAGAGUUAGGGCUGAAACCACACCAAUGAACACGAAAGCCGACCGGACCCACAACCGGACCCACAGGGAUUCACCGGAAACCCGACACUUUGUCCAGCAUGUUUUUUCUUGUUUUACCAUUUGCGAAGGUUAUUCAUCACAACACAUGCACAUUUAGCUACCGUCUAUUCUACUCUAGUGUAUCCUAAUGCUUUUCAGAUUCCUCACUAGAGCACCCAAUGGCUGCAUCCCACCACCGAUCAUCUAGGUACAAACCAAACAAAGUACAAUCAGGGAAGAAGAUCCCCUGACCAAUCGUGCCCCAGUCUAUGACACGUAGACCCCAGAUGCCGAUGGCCCUAUGGUAGAACCUCACAAUGCCACAGCGCACAAAGCCGCCGCGAUCACGUAACUGGCGGCCCGACCCAGCGCUCGGCAAGCCGAGCUCUUGGCAUCCAGCGUUCCUCCCGCCUUACCCCCCGGGGUCUUCGUCGCGUCACCGUCCGAUGGCGGCGUCGUGCCGUCCGGCGAGGGCGGGAUCGCCUCGACGGCGGGCUGGGCGUGGAAGAUGGCGUCCGGGAGCAGCACCCUGUCGAUCUCGUACACGGCCAUGGGCGGCAUCUCGUAGACGGGCCGGACGACCUUGGCGUCGGCCCAGCUCGACACCACGCGGAUGGCGCCCGCGUCGUACGUCACGUUCACCGUGUACAGCCCCCCCGCGAACGUCGUCACGGGGCUCACCCGGCUCAGCGCGUCGAACUCCUUGAGCGCGUAGUGCCUCGCCAGCGCGUGGUACAUCAUCAGGCUCUUCACCUGGUGCUUCUUCAGACCCGACAGCACCUGCGAUCAACAAAUCAUCGAGAAAACCAUUAUAUAUCAUCGGUAGAUGAUCGAUCAUCUGUUCUUGUGUCUUGGAGUACUUGAUUACCGAGGGCUCGAUGGCGGCGAAGGCCCUGUCGGUGGGGACGAGGAUGGUGAUGCCAUGGUGGGUGCGGUGCGCCUGGAUCUCGAACACCUCCACGAGGCCGGUCUGCUGGAGGUACAUGACGAAGGUCUGGAAGCGCCCGCCGGGGGCUAGGAUAUAGGUGAGGUUGCGGCGGCUGCCAUGGGCGAAGCUCUGUGGAGGCGGCGCCGGGGGCGAAUCGGCGAGCACACGGCGGUGCGCACCGGCGAGCGGAAGGGAUAGAGAGAGUGCGGUGGCGAUGAGGAGCGAAACGGCGAGAUUCAUUGGCUGGGCGAGAUCUUGGUGCAAGGCGUACCUGACCCGGGCCGAGUUUAGGCUGUCAACUGAACCUGUAGCUGCCGCGGAGGAACAAGUUAGUGGAGGAACGAAUUUUGUCCGAUUUUCGUGCACAGCAGCGAGCUGGAUCUCUGAAUUCCUAUUUUUCAGGCCGUUCAGAGGUUUCAGGAUGGCGCAAAGUGCAAACGGUGAUCAUGUUCACGUCUUGAACCCAACGCGCCGAUUGUAGCGGUGCCGGUAUGUACCGGCAGCGCUGCCACCGUCGGAUGCAGCUCCGCGAUUCCCACUCACCCAAUUGGUAUUUCAUUUUCUGAAACUUAUACGCAGCCGGUUCGGUCGGUGGAUUGGUCCGUAUUCGAUGCCGUGUGCUAUACCUGGGCCUGGCUAUCCGUGAAAAUCGCCCGUUCUCUCUCUCGUCUCUUUCUUUCUCCCGAUCUGGAUCGGGCCGCCAGCCGCCGUCGUCGGCGAUCUGCGCCGCCGGGAUGCCUGCAGCCUCCUCCGCCUGCGACGCCGUUGAAUCCCACUGAAGGCUCGACCACCGGUGCCUGCAACCGCCUCUGAGGUGGACACUGUCGAACCCCGCCACGCCGCCGCCUCCCCCCCCCCCCCCCCCCCCCCUCUCUCUCUCUCUCGUGCGACGGCCUCCACCGCCUCGGACCACGCCGCCGCCCCUGGAUGCUGCGGCCGCGACCUCCCACGGCCGCCGCCGCACCUCCGGCCCGGAUCCGGUGCGCGGCCGCCUGAUUCCGCAGCCUCUGCCCCGGAUCCGCCGGGAAGGCUAGCUGCGGGAGGCUCGGCGCCCGCCUCCAAAUUUCCAACCGCCUCCCUCCGCCCGGGCAGGCCCGCGAGCGCGUGCAGGGUUGGGGCGCGUGGGCGCUGCGCUCGCUCCAGCGGCCGCCGUCUGCCGCCGACCGGCCCACCAUUGCACCCGCCUCAACGAUCCUCGAGGCCUACCUCGAGGAAGAUUUGGAUUUGAUUGCAAUCUUGGAUCACAAGCAGGAUUUGAUUGCAACCUUGGAUUGCAAUUUUUUCUGUAAGAUUGCAAUCGGUCAUAUAUCAGUUUUGGUUUGCAAAUCUGGAUCAUAAGAUUUAUGUACCAUUGAUUUGGUGUGGUGUAUUGCCUUUGGAUUGCAAGAUUUUGAUUGCAGCCAAUGAAAUAUCGGAAAUUUGAUGUAUGUACCAUUGAUACCUCACUCAAAUUUGAUAGAUACAGCAUUGAAAUCCAUGAUUUUGUUUCACGCCAAUCAAAUUUCAAACAAAUGUCAUCAAUAUCUCAUUGAAAAUUCACAGAUACACCAUUGAUAUCUCAUCGGUAACGUUAAUUUUAUUCUAUACCGUUCGAAAUAACAAAAAUUCAUAUAUUCACCAUUGAAAUUUUAAUCAAUAUAUCAAUGACAUAUACCAAAGGUUUAGCGUAUACGAAUAAAAUAUACCAUUCAUAUACCAUAUACCAAUGAAAUAUAUCCGUGCCUGGAUUUAGAGGUGGGCCUAGGCUGGCGCCACAUGGUGACGCAACAGAGACUAGCCCCAACACCCGAAGGUGAUCGAGACGUUGAAAAAGUAGCGUCUCAAUGAUUGUCUACCUGCUCCAAUAUAAUAUACCAUUUAUAUACCAUACACCGAUAUAAUAUACCAUACACCAAUGUAAUAUACCAUUUAUAUACCAUCUACAGUACAAUAUACCAUACGCUUAACAUUUAGGAAUUAAAAUAUACCAUUCAUAUAUCAUAUACGAAUACUGGCCUAGGCUAGUUCCAUGUGGCGGCGCGUGAGAGGUUGGCCCAACACUGGUAGGUGACGGAGCUGGUAAAAAAGCAUGUUAUUUCAACAUGUCAUCAUGUACCAUUCAUGUGGUUUUUGGUUUCUCAUUUACCAUGUUCCAAAAUUUGCAUUUUGUUAGAAUGUGUUUUGAAGGGUCAUAUCCUUUUUAGGAUUCUCGUGCUUGGUGUUCUUGAUUCCAAUUUGAGCUGUUGCUAACCUGUACUUGGUAACGCUAUUCCAUGUGGAAGCCUAGAAACCCCCUUUCGUCGGACGCCUAGGAGCUCGCCUGACUAAAAAUGUAUUCUUAACUUCACUUGUGCUAAAUUGUUGUUAUUGUAUUUACUAAUAUUGUUGGUACAUGAUAUAUGAAUGGUAUAUUUCAUUGAUAUAUGAUAUGUGAACAGUAUAUUUCAUUACUAUAUGGUACAGGAACGGUAUAUUUCAUUAGUAUAUGGAAUACAAACGGUAUCUUUCAUUGUAUGAAACAACAAUCUCUAUAUGAAUGAUAUAUUUCCUUAGUACGUGGUAUAUGAAUUGUAUAUUUCAUUGGUACAUAACUUAUGAAUGGUAUAUUUCGGUGGUAUAUGGUAUAAGAAUGGUAUAUAUCGAUGAUAUAUGGCAUAUGAAUGAUAUAUUUCAUUGGUAUAUGUACACAAAAAACACGUGUGUCGGUUAGGCAACACAAGGCGACGUGUGGCUAGUGGUAUGCCACCGGUAGGCGACGGAGCCGGCGGACAACUGUAGGUUUUGUGCUCCGGGAAAAUAAGGGGGGCCUGAAAAGACUGAGGCCCGUAAAAAUCUGAGAUAAGGAUUCUGCUCCGCGUUCGUUUUUCUUAUUCUACUUUCUUCAAGUCAUCGAUCAUUUCAGGUUUCCUGUAGAACUCCAUGUAGGAGUAUCAGCCUAUAUUUUCGUUUUUAGCUAUGCAUCACGCAUUCACCUCACUUUUAAUGGGGGAUAAAUCCACAGAUUUCUGCAACUAAUCUUCAGUUUCAAUAUGAAUAACAAUGAAAAAUCAGAAAACAACAAAAUAUUUCCUGUGCAUUCACGUUCAUUCAAAUAUUUUCUGUAGAAUCACAUUGAUACGGCUACUAUAAAACAGCAAGAAUGUAUGUGGACAUUCAAAUUGGUUCAGCGUACAGCCUAACAUCUAAGCAUUGAUUCAGGGGUCCCCUUGAUUCAGUUACAGAACAACAUCACUUUUCCUGUACAACAAAAAAAAACAGCUCUAACUUCGGUAAAGCAGCAACCCCAUCUUCAGCGAACAACAGACCAUCUCUAAAUUCAACAAACAACGGCAAUCACAGCAUCAACGAACAGCAGGCCAUGAAUGUUCAGCAAACAACAGAGGACGAACAAAAUCUGAAAAUAGCGGCGAUAGGACGAACAGGGCAGUGCUGAGAAGGGGAUGGAUCUGGCCCGACUGCCCGCUGGGCCAAACCCUAGCCCCAGCCCGGCGCCUCGCGCCACUCGGCCUGCUAAUGGAUCCGGCCGCGCCACUUCCAGCAGCAUCCGCACCCGCCACCAUCGAGGAGGGAGCCGCCGCUCGGCUCCGUCGGCCGACGAGGGCGUGGGCGUGGACGACGAUUCCGCGAGCUGUGGUGGUCUCGGUACCUCCAGCUGGAGCAGCACUCAGGAGCGCGAGUCCCGGGAACGGAAGGAGGACGAAAGCAGACGGGAGGGCUUGCAGGCCGACGGUGGGAGGCGAGGCAGCAGCAGCGCUCGGCCGCUCGGGGCCUCAUGCGGUUGGGGAAAUAUGGGAUUAGGAGGAACACAGGGCAUAUACAGAAUACGGUCUGACACAAACCUCGGGCAGUACCAAUCGGGGGCGAGCAGGUCGCGCAAUAGCGUGCCGGCUAUAAAACACUUUUGCGUCUUGAACCAUGCAUUCAACAUCAGUGCAUCACCUCACCUCUCUCUAAAAACUGUGUAUGGACAUUGAACAUGCAGGAAAUUCAUUCCAUGCAUUCGUGAUUAACGGUUUAGAUAAAAAAAACCCGAGUGUACAAGCAAAAUUUUGCAGAAUAUCUGAAGAGAAAACUUCGCAGGUCUCUGUAUGGGAAGAAGAUCCACCGGCAAUACAUAAGUACAUGACAGUGAUACGCGCCACUCCGCGCGCAGCAAACGAAUUAACGAAUUCUUUCCAAGAGGACUUUCACCGGACACGCCAACGAUGAGAAUGAUCCAACUACACCAGAACCCCCGACACCAUCAGAACCAAAGAGCCAAGCAGCAGGCGCCCAGUGCCAACCCGGCUCGACGAGCUUUUGCCGCCGGCAUUGUCCUUGGCACCCGCGCCGGGCGCGGCGUCCAUCGCCUUGCCGGGCACCGGCGCCGGCGCUGGAACGGGCACGGGCGCCACCUCGGGAGCCGUCGGGAAGAUCUCCUUGGGCAGCAGCACCCUGUCCAGCGCGUACACGGCCACGGGCCGCGUGGAGUACACGCUGCUGACGAGCUUCGCGGCGGCCCAGCCCGACACGACGCCGGUCUUCCCGGCCUUGUCGGUGACGUUCACGCUGUACGCGAACAUGGAGACCGGGGUCGACGACGCGGCCAGCGCCGAGAAGACCGAGAGCGGGUAGUACUUGGGCGCGGCGUGGUGGAGCAUCAGCGACCGGAGCCGGUCGGCCGUGAGGUUUGAGAGCGCGGCCGAGUCCACGGCCGCGAAUGCCGAGUCCUGGGGCGCGAACACCGUGAUGCCGUGGCCGCCCUGUUCUUCGGUGUCGUUGGCCUGGCUCUGGAAGGUCUUGAUCACGUCCGUCUUGGUGAGGUAGUCCAGGAACGUGCCGUAGGGCCCCGCCAGGGAGAGUAACUCGGCGAGGUCCACGUGGCGCGGCGCGGGAGCCGGCGCCGGGGUCUCGAUGGUGAUGAUCGGCGCCCUCUGUGACAGCGCCCCGCGGGAGAGCGCGAGGCAGAGCAAUGCGCUGACGAGAACAGCCCGUUUGAGCUCCAUUUCUGCGAGACCUGCGUGUCCUGCAGCUUGGUAGAAAUGCAGAUGAAUGGACUGCGAGUCUGCGACCGAAGAUUGAGGCUCAGUGAACCUCUAUGGAGGAGCAUGGGGGUACUUAUAGCAAAUGGGGGUUUGAUUGUCGUAUAAUUUUAUUGUAGAAAGUACAGGCCGGUGUUGGCGUUCGGCUGGCAUUAGCUAUGCUGUCAAUGUGAGUGGUCAACUGAUUAUCUGAACGCCAAGAUACGAUUUGGGAAUAUUUCUCUGAAGGUGGCGGGGUGACUGCAAUCGGUUCUUCUGAGCUGCAGGGGAAGUUGCCAAGGUAUGAACUGCAAUUUUGCAUUUGCAUAGAUUUCCUGGGGUGUGAUUUUACCAUGGUGCUGAAGCACGUGUGUUUAACUCUUCGCUAACCAUACGAUUUAUUACAUUGCUCGUUCCGUGUGACAAACGAUCAGAUCGAAUAUAUAGUUCCAAAAGUAGUACUACGAUUAAGAUUAUUUGAAGAUUACAUCAAGUCAGACAAGCAUAAAAUUGUGGGGCACCGACAGAACGCAUAAUAGACGUGGAAACUGUGUUUUUCUCUUCAUUUUAUAAGACGUUGAUUAAACAAAGCUAUAUAGUGUCGGCCGGCUAAAAACAGAAUUACGGUCAACUUUGUGCUUAGAACACGCUAUGAUGACGAAACAAUCGUGCUACCCUGCAUAUGCACAACGCACGAACUAUUCUGUCCCCGGGCGGGCUACGAGCGCUCUCUACUCUCUGCAGACGUGCGCGCCGCAAGAAUUCUCACAGCAUUACUGGCCUGCCACCACCCGGUACGUGUUGCCGUGUCUCACAAACGCACACAUAUACGAAGUAGCAAGCCAGCUAGGCUAUAUACAAUGCCGCAUGGCGCAUGUCUGUGUCACGGCGGAUAAUCAAAGGAAACCCCACUUAAACAAACGGAGCAAAUUUCACAAAACUACAGCUUUCAGGUACGUGCAAAUUGUCACCAAGAUCACACAUUUUAGGACAGUUUGUCUCGAGUAAUCCAAAACAAAAAUUCAAGUCCGUUUGAUAGGAUUUCUUAUGGGUGGACACCACUUAUCAGGUGCCACAUCGGUACAAAACCGACUCGACAUGACCUGUUUCCUUUCGAGAGAAUCGCACUUAAGUGCACCCAUGUACGGGUUCGGGUAUAUAUAGGUGUGGCAGCUACAAUUUUUAGCAGAUGUACCUAUACAUGUGAGCUCUACCUGUACCGAAACCCUGUGGAGCCGGUCGAGGUAGAGGGGCCGACCCAGUGUGUAUGUGUAUAUAGAAAUUGUACAUAUCUGUUUGCCCCACUAGAGUUGCUAGGCUCGUUGUUUGAAGUUUGUCUAGGCUUCUGAAAUCUAGGGCCGACACUGAGAAACCCAAAAUGUUCUGGCAGUUCCUUUUUCUCUUCCUAAAAAAACUCAAAACCAAUUGAAUUUGGGUAAAACUAUGCACUUAAGGAUUAAUCAAGCGACUAAGGAAAUUUUUUAGCAAAAAAGCGACCAUGGAAUAUAUAGUAGAUUUCGCUUGUAUACAAAUUCUUAGCCCAACCAGCAAAUCAAACACAUGGGCUCUCCUACUCGAGAAAACCAUGGGCGGUCCAGCCCAAUACGAUCGCUGAAACCAGCUUAGCCCAGUGACAUGGUAUAGGGCAAUCACGUGGUAAGAAGACUGUAAAAAUAUUUCCCUAAAAAAGAACUUUGUGGAAAUGUGAGAUAAUGUGGAGACAACAGAGGAUCAAGAAUUCCGAAGAUGGCCCCGAAAAAAGAAACGAAGCUGGUUUCUGGGUUUGUGCACCGCGGCAGAUGGGUAUCACGUCAUAUUUGCCACGGGAAUCAUAACGGGUGAACAUCAGUUGGGCGAGAUGCAGGGGCAGCCGUUUGAUCUGCAGUGGCUUAUACUGUAUUUGCCAUGUGGCCCCACAUUUUUUCUUUCUUUUUUUUGCCACUAGCAUGGUGGCCGCUAGACCUCAUGAUUGUUGUUAUAUUUUUUUUUACGUGUACUGAUGACUUUUUUAUUUUACAUCUCUUUUUAUUCCCGGCCAUAUUGGUAUAUUCUUUCUGGUUGGGUUUAUAUGGCGCGCACCAAAAUUUAUAAGGGACUUUGGCAAAAUAUUACUUGAUAAUACGACGUUAUUGCAACACAAAAGAGAUAUCGUUGUAUUCGUAUUGGAAAACUCAAUCAAUAGAAACGUUUAUAUACCUACAUCUUUUUUAUAAUUAUUCGUCAAAAUUUGUCACAAAAUUCAAUGCAGGGCUUAUAAAUCCGGAUGGAGUGAGUAUAAUUCACUGAUAUUGUAUUUUGUCCAUUACAUGUCUAUUCAUCAUAUUUUUAAUUCUAAAAUCGAAGACAUGAUUUUUUUAUACCUAAGGGCUUCCAUGGCGUGCCAAAAACCAAAUUUGCCAUAUAACUCCAAUUUGGCAUCGAUGCAAAGUUUUAGUUUUCCUGCAGUGUAGAGGAUGCCAAACUUACGCGUAGAUUAGAUCCACAAAAGAAUGAAUUAAUUACUCAUUUUCCUUAUCCCUUCUUCUUUCCCAACCUCACUUUCCCAUCAAAUUCUCGUACCCCAAAUCUACCAGCACCCCACUUCACCGCCUCCGCUCGCGGCCCUGCACCUCCUCCGCUCCUCCGCCACGCAGCCUCUGCACCACCUCCGCCCCUCCUGCGCACGCCCUGCACCGCCUCCGCUAGUGCCCCUACGCCGCACUCAUCCAACAACGCCUCCGCCCCUCCGCGCGCACCCCUGCACGGGCUCCCCCUGUGCCUAGCGCCACUGUGGAGGCACUAAGGGAUAUAGUUUUGUACCUAAAUUGUGAAAUCUCUCCUGCGAGCCUCUCAUUCCCCAAAUCCCCUAGGCGGACAGGCCAUAGCUGCCACGGUACUCACAACUUUGUAUGUCGCUCCGUUGUUGCUUUGCUUGACGCCUCCCGCCACUAUUUUAUGCUGUUAGUUUGGACUCGGUGUUUCUUUUUAGAGGUUUAGCCGAACAUAACAUCAAACGAACGAUUCAUAGGACUCGUAGAUCUCAUAUCUAACGGCUGGAAAUAAUUGGGGUGAUGUGGAUCAACAUGGAGGCUCCCCCGGUACCCCUAAUAUUGAUUGCAGGACUCGCAGAUCUCAUAUCUAAUGGCUGGAAAUAAUUGGAGUGACCCGCGCAGAUUGCGCUGCUAGACUUAUAUGAUGAAAUAUUUGAUUUUUUAUAUAUUUUACUUAACCAAGAUAUGUAUAGCUUUUUUUAUUUGUUAUUCGUGAAGACAAAUCUUCUGAAAGAAUAAGAUGCAGUAUUCUGCAUCAUUAGAUUGAUUUAAUAACACAUUAUAUUGUAGAUUAGGUUGUAAUUAUAUUUUUUAGCAAUAGAUUUGUAUUUUAUUAACAUCAUCUGCAAUAUAAAAGCGUUGAGCUUCAAUAAGGAACUUAUGCGUUUGAUGCAUUUCACUUUGUGCGAUAUUAUUUUAUACAAUUUUUAAAAUUUCUUUUAGAUAUCAAUCACAAACUUAUAUAUUUUUAAUAUUUAAUUAUACUUUUGGACGGAUGAUGCGGCAAGCAUUCCUGGAGAGCUGGCGCGCGGUGCGGCGAGCGAGCGAGGUGGCGUCUGGCAGCGGCUGAUAGAACGUUGUGGCGGGCGUGGAUCACGACAGAAGGGACCUGAUGGCGUCUCGACGAAGAUGGAUCACGGCAGCAGGGCCGAUGGUGCUGGGGCGGCUGAUCACAACAUCGUCGGUGUGGCUGCGCGGUGCUCUGAGGACGUGCGUGCAAGCUGCAAGGCCGCCGUGCUGUGAUGCUGCAACCACUUGCAUGAGCCGCCCACACCGAGACGAAGAUUAGACCACUAAUUAUUACCGAACUCUUAGAUGUCACUUCGUUAAAUCGCUAGUUACCACCGAAUGUAAAAAUUCCAAUUAAUAGUGACAGGACACCAAAAGUGUGUAAGACUUUGCCAUAGUAUUAAUUUGUUUGAUCUCGAUGAAUUGCUGCAACACAACCUUGUUCACGAAUAUCCUCGGACAUUUUUCAUCAUGGACAUGGCCUCGACGAUUCCCUUCCAAAUCUUGGUCUACCUCGUCACCAGUGAAGGCAUCGGAGCAGCGAGAGUGGCGGCUCCAGCGAAGGCACACGGCACGGAUUUUAUGGAAAAUAAACGUGACAUGUAAGAGUUCGUUUAAGUUAAAAAAGAUGUGUCCGUCAUCUGGUUGCUUCACGUUAGCAAAUUUACGAGUCACAUAUAUGUAACGCACGAUUUGAAAGCAAAUUUAUGUGUCACGUAAAUCUAUGGUCUUGUUUCAACAACUCUCAGAUCCAACGAUCAGAAUAAUUGAGGUGAUGUGGAUCAACGUGAGGCCUCCCUCGGUGCCCCCGUAUUGUUUUUAGUAUAUUAUAGCCAGUUCGUAGCCCAAGCGACAUAUCCUUCUCGUUAAAUAUUAACCGUUAAAUAUAAAAUCUGAUGGCCAGUAUAAUUCAAGUGAUGUGGAUCAACGUAGUUCUCCCUCGGUUUCCCUCAUUUUUUUCUUAAUCUAUUUUUAGGGGGUUCUUUUUCUUAAUCGAUACAUCUAGUUUUUUUUGUUUUAUAUCAUACGGCAAAGGGAACCAAUGAGAUGUCCUGCGAUCAGCAAUUGUGUGUCCAUAUUGGACACAUAUUAAUUUGUAUUGGGUCUUAGUGGAUUUUAAUAUAUUUUAAUGUUUUGUUGAUAGCCCACAAAUUGGGCCUACUUGGCCUGAAAUCACUUUAUUGUUUAUUGGUAACCCAUCAAAUAUACUCUCUCAUUAAAUAAGGGCCAUUAGAUAUCAGAUCCAACGAUUAAAUUAAUUUGGAGAAUGCGGUUCAACGUGAAGACUCCCUCGGAACCCCUCAUACGUUUUUCUUUUAGUAUAUAAUAAUAGAUAUACCCGAUCCAUAAUGAAUGUUGCUGAUUUAUUAUAACACAAUAAUCUCUCCGUCUCAUAUUAAGUGCCGAAAUAUUACAUGUAUCUAGACGACUUUUAGGCCGGUAUAGAUCCAUCCAUAUUUGUGCAAAUUUAAGUCAUUUAAUUGAGAACGGAGGAAGUACAACAACUUUAAUUAAACUUAUGAAUCGGAGGAAGUAAUAGACAGAAUAGAUAAAACGGAAAUUCCAAAACGCGCUGUUCCGCUAUUUUGGCUCUGUGCGCAAAGCCGUUUGCAUGCUGCUGCUCUGGAGUCCAGACUGCAUUGCAUGCACAACAGGAGCUGCUCGUCUGGGCGUCGUGCGAUCGGCCAAGCGCGCAUCGUCGUGCCGUGGCGUGGUUGACAUCGGUUCUGUGUGGGGCGCGGUUUAGUGCACGGGGACGUCACGUGUUUUUAUUUAGCAAAGCUAAAGCUAAAGAUAACGUGACAUGUUUUAACGUGACAUAUUUUUUUUAACGGAAAUCGUGUGGGACUCUAGAAUCAGCAGCGUAACAUAUGUUUGACAUUGAUUUAUGACCCUUAAAUCUUUUAUCUAACGGUCAAAACAAUUGUGGUGAUGUGGAUCAAUCUGGAGUCUCCUCUCAGUACCCCUCAAAUUGCUUUUAGUAUAUAAUAUAUGUGAGCAUCGAUAUUUCCAUGUCACCAAACCGUGGCCUGGCACGAAUGGCAUGAGCAUGUAGAUCUUUCACAUAUCCCCUUCCCCUAUUCCCCUUUGCUUCCAUCGUGUCAUCCACCAAUUACUAAAAAAACUAUACUCAAUCGAAUUUGGGUAAAACUAUGCAUUUAAGGGUUAAUCAAGCGAUCAUGGAAUAUACAGUAGAUUUCGCUUGUAUACAAAUUCUUAGCCCAACUAGCAAUUCAAACACAUGGGCUUUCCUAGUCGAAAAAACAUGGGCGGUUCCAGCCCAAUACGAUUGCUAAAACCAGCUUAGCCCAAUGACGUGAUAUCGGGCAAUCACGUGGUAAGAAGAUUAGAAAUUUGUACAAAUGUGAGAUAUGUGGGGAUAACAGAGGAUCAAGACCUCUAAAAAAACCAGAGGAUCAAGAAUUCUCAACAAAAAAAACCCAGAGGAUUAAGAAUUCCGAAUAUGGCCCCGUCAAAAAGAAACGUAGCUGGCUUCUGGGUUUGUGCACCGAGGAAGGCAUGGGUAUCACGUCAUACUCCGUAUAUGCCACGGGAAUCAUAACGGGUGAACUCAGAUGGGCGCGAUGCACAGGGGCAGCCGUUUGAUCUGAAGUGGCUUGUUUGCCAUGUGAUCCCACUUUUUUUUUUUUUUACCAUGUGAGCAUCGAAGAAUAUUUCCGCAUCGGCAAGCUGUGGCCGGGCACGAAUGGCAUGAGCAAGCUUCUAUCGUGUCGUCCACCAUUUGGCAAAGUAACGUGCAAGCCGUACCCAAAUGAUGUGUCGCCGGAUGGGCCGGCGAACUUCGUGUGCCGGUAAGAGAGUACGUGGUCCUCCACUCGCGUACAGAGAGCGUACACUUCAUUUUCGCUUUCCGUGCCGGUGCCGGUGGAUUCAAAUUCAAGUGCCAGUGCAGCAUGCAGCUGCGCGCCUGCGCUUCAUUGUGAUGCACCGGAAAGAAGGAACCGUAUGAUGCAAUGGCUAGCUAGGGACUCUCCACGGGGAAAUGAUAAGGGGAUAGGAGGCAAAGGAUCGAGUGAUUCAAGUUGUUUCUUGUAUGCCUGUGGGUUCUCGGAUGAUCGAUGGAUGGAUGUCCCCAUGUGCUCGGGAUUUCUGUAGCUAGGGCCGCUGAACUGCAAACGGAAGCCUUUCCAUUUUCCAUGAUGGAUGAUUCCGUCUCGUCCGUGGCGUUGCGAUGAUGGCCCCUUUUUGCCUUCGGAUGAUAUAUACCCAAAGCCCUUUUCACGGCAAAAUCUUCCAGAACACGAGCUGGCCCGGCCGGGCGGGCGGUUCGCAGGAAGAGGAAGCCGCACAUGCCGGCGAAUCUUCCUUCCACCGGCCGGCCCUUACGAGUAACCUCUGCUUUUGCCGUGGUCUUCUUAAUUCAAAGCACCCGCUGCUUGGAGAACCUAGAAGCAUGUUCUGAUUAUCAGAUUCAGGAGCCGAAUCUACGAAAGUUCACCUGAAGAUGUGCAUGCUUUUUGCCCGGGUCGUCGUAAGCUCGUAUAGUAGUACUACAGUUGGAAUAUUGUGUUAGCUCCGGGAUUGCACUGGAUUAUCCCAGUGCAUACUCCUAGGAUCCUUAAAGGUAGCCCAAAUGUCAGUAGACAGGACCCAGCAUGUCAUGUGCUGUCCACUUGAAUGGGAAAAAGACACGCCGGCCGGCUCGUCGAAUCAAAUCGAUCGAACGCUCCCCGUCAGGCCGCCAUCCUCGCACGAAUAGAUGGAGUAUAUUGGAACCCAAUCAUUUCGUUAACGCGUUCUGGUUUCUCUUUUGUAAUGCAUUACAGAUGUACAAAAAGAAAUGUACUCGCCAUCUGAACGUUUAAAAUUUGCAACCCGCGUUGGGCUGUCGAAGAAGAUGGAGCCGUCAUACUCAUACGUAGGCAGCGCACUAAUUUUUCGCGAACAAGAUUACCAUCAGUGCAGUAUUGCCAUCUGGAUCACCGGGAAAUUAACCGGAGGCGAGCGAGUGGUACUUUUGACCAUCAAUGAGAUCGGAGCCGUGCCGUCGUCGCUGCCGGUAUUGAUGACCGGUAUAAUUGCUUAUCAGGUACAGGCUGAGCAGCAGUUCUGCAGGAGGCCACGCCGAUGUGUCGGGUUAAGUUAAGAGCAGCGUAAACAGGCGGUCAGAACAUCCGUGCUGGAGUUGGUAGAUAGAGUUGCAGCCGUUGUCGAUCGCGUCGCAGCUGGCUUCAAUUAACUCUUGUGUGACAACAGCCCAGCAGGGCCAGUAGGCCAGACACUACAGGGUCGCCAAGGCCGUGUUUACUUGAGGUUUACAGAUUGCGGGCUCCUAUCUUUCGCGGAGAACAGAGACGGAUCAAAAAGAAAGAAAGAAAAAAAUGAAUCCUACUGGAAGUCCACUUGCUCCUCCUACCUGGGUCAGCGUGAAAUAAAAAGCGAUCCUGCCUGGGUCCCGACAAUCUCGGGAUCCUGUGCUGUUCCAUCGUGGCCACAUGUAUCGGACUCAAAGAUUAAUGGCAGCCUGGCAGGCACUCCGAGUAUAUCUGAUCUUGCAUAGACGGAUUUGUUUAACGCUGCUGCUCGAUUUUGGCUGCAGAGGGCCUGAGAAGAAACGUUUAACAUUUGACAUUUUGACUUGUGCAUCACCUGUACGUGCCCGCGACGAACCCCCGAGAGUAGUCUCCUCCAACCAGGUUUGAUCAUCAUGGGUGCCGCGGCACAUGGCUCCGGACGCGCCGAAACCGCGGAAGACGAGACCGAGCCGCUGCAUGUGGCCCGGCUCGAGUCGAGCUCGACAGCCCCGCCGCACCCGGAUUCCGGAACCCGAAGACGUGCGUGCCAGUUAGCCAAACAAGGAAACCCCGCUGUCUGUCUCCUCCUGUCGCGGCGGCUCUCGCGGCGUCCUAUUUCCUUCCGCGCGGUGGGCAAGGGGCCUGCUCGAUGACAUGUGGGACAGCCGUGGGAUGGGCCCGGCCCGUCGGUGUGCUUGGCUUUGGACGUCCGCGUCGUCAUUAUUCUGCGGGGAUGGACCAGGGUGUCAGACUGUCAGGUGGAGGCAGCCGGUGGGAUGUGUCAGUAAAACAGUACUGCAUCUGCGGUGAUUAGGAUCCACGGUGAAAAAUGCGUGGUGGAGUUGGUGGGUACUGCCACUUUUGCUCGUCAAAUGUCUGAGUGGAAACAAUGUCGUGUGCGUGUCUGUUUCCACUGAUCGUUGUCAGUGGUUCCUGGAUAAACUACUGCCUGUAUACAAGAUCAUACUGGCCCGUAGCAUUUUUUCUGUUUUUUAAAUUUCUACUGCGCAUGCUGCAGAACCAGGCGUCGCAGUCUUCCGUCAACCCAUCUUUAGAACAUGGAUCAAAGCAUCCAUCUUGUCAAGCCUGACAUCGAUAGCGCCACCAUCUUGCACACGUCCAUCAGCCGCGUUCCGUCCAUGACCCACCCACCCGCAUAUCUAGCAUUGCUCAGACGGCGCCCCUAAGGGAAAGAUUGACGUAAUCUGCCCCCCCGCCGUCCAGUCAAAUGACUUUGCGUUUUCACCUAGAAAAUGAGUUUAAACGGAUCCCCCGAUCCUCACAAGAAGGUAUGUACUCCAUCUGAAAAAACAAGAUUAAUGGUUGAGAAAACUAAGGGAAAGCUCUUCUUUUAGAAGGACGCUGGAAUCUAUAAAUUUUACUUCUAAGUAAAUUUUGCAGUGCACCAUGAGUAGUUGAGCUGUGUAAUUAUUACUUCCUCCGUUUCACAAAGAUUGGCACAGUUCCGCACCAAUCUUUAUGGGACGGAAGGGGUAAUCAAUUUGCCAAUGCGUAAUGCGGACUUACAUAUAUGUUAUGAGAGUUCAAAGAGCAAUUUGUCUUUAUAUUCUCUGUUUCUGUAUUUUCUGUUCAAAGGAAGGAGUGAAAACUAAAAAAUGAGGGUGAUUUGCGAUAGCUCGCGGUACAGGUUCACUUGACACGGAAGCUCUCCGAGCAUAGAAACGACACUACUAGUACUAUUAGUACUCAGUAAAGUAUGCGUAUUACUGGUCCUUACUGGGAUCGUACUUGCCCCAAUGAAUGACAAAGGGAAGAAAUGGUAAAGAACAAGACUGUCCUGGGGAGAGCAUCAAUGGGGGCUGGACUCCGGUGUCCGGAGGCAGAUAUCCCUCAUUAUUUGAUCACCACUACUCUACUCCCUCCCACCACCUUCCCCUCCGCUGCCACCUCCCCUCCUGCCCGUUCUUCUCUCCUCUCCCCCCAGCAGAACACAGCUCACCACCACCUCCCCGGUCUCCGUCCCACGCAGUCUCUCUUGGGGCUUAAAUCCAGCACGGCCGGCCGGCCAUCGAACCUCCUGCUCCCGAGGAUUACUUGGUCUCUUCCAGGGAAAGAAAAAGGACGAGUUGUGGUGGUCGCGGUGUGUUCUUGGAGUGCUGUUCCAAGGUUGCUGCUUGCGGUGAGGGUGGUGGUACUGGUCUCUCGCGGCAAUGAGGAGCGGCAACCAUGUCUGCUCCGCUGUUGCGUCCUUCGUCUUGCUGUGGCUGGGCGUGGCCGCCGCGCAGGGCGCCUCGUCUUGGAAGACACUUAGCGGUACAUUCUUCCGGCUCUCUCUUUCCUCGGUUGGCUUGCUGCGUGCUCUGAUCUGUGUUGAUUUACUGCAUGUUUUUGGUCCAAGAGGAAAUUUUUUUUGCUUGCGGUUUUAGAUUUUCUGGCCAGGAUCUUUAACUUCCUUGCCCGUCAUACACUUUUCUCUCUUUUUGCGACACGAUUGCUUCGGCCCGGGACACAAUUGCUGCGUGCUCUCUCUUCGAUUGGAAGAUUGGGACCGACCAAGAUGCCCUUUUGGGGGUAGCUGAUGGCCCUUUUCAGCUGACAGACGUGCUGUUAGGACAUGGCAGCAGCUUCUGGAGAUGAAGGAGUACAUUUCCACUGCGUGCUUGAUAGCUAUACCCAUCUCUUUCUUAGUAUUGGGAAUGGCGUGCUUUGCGUGCUCUUGUUCGCCUGAUGCAUUUAGGAGUUAGGAUCUGAUAGGCAUACACGAGGCUAACAAUCAAUUGCCUUAAUGUUUCAGGCGAUGCUCCGGCGAUCAUAGCCAAGGGUGGAUUUUCAGGCUUAUUCCCCGAUUCGAGCGAAUUCGCUUAUCAGUUCGCGCUGAUUGCUAGCUCGCCAGACACGAUCCUAUACUGUGAUGUCCGGCUGACAAAGGAUGGCCUUGGAGUUUGUCUACCGGACAUUAAGUUGGACAACUGCACCAAUAUUCCAGAAUUCUAUGCUGACGGUAAAAAGAGCUACCUUGUUAAUGGCGUGUCGACGACGGGAUGGUUCUCAGUGGACUACAAUGGCACCGAGCUCUCCCAGGUUUCUUGUAAGUGCUACCAUACUGUUCUAAAGUUAAUAAAGGUUGGAUCUUUUAAUGUCUGCAAUCGUGCGGAUGUUGGAUGAGGAAAAGGGACAUGCUACUCUUCGUUUUUGAACGUUCUGUGAUUUCAACAGUGUGGUUGGUUUAGUUACUUGCCUAAUCAUUGUGGUUUAUAUGCCGUGCAGUGAAGCAGUCCAUCUAUAGUCGCACGCCCAGGUUUGACCCAAGCUUCUUUCCAUUGCUUGCUGUUGAAGACGUGGCAUCCAAGUUCAAGUCUCCUGGAAUUUGGCUCAAUAUCCAGGUACAAUUAUAAUCUCAUUCGUGUGCAGUAGAAUAUGUUGUACAAAAUUGCACCUUCGCUGAAAAUGAGCCAUUUGCAGCAUGACAGUUUCUACAGCCAGUUCAAUAUGAGCAUGAGGAACUAUAUCCUUUCUGUAACGAAACGUGUUGUUGUUGAUUAUAUAUCAUCGCCCGAAGCGAGCUUUCUCACCAGCAUCAGUGGAAGGGUUAGCAACAAAACAAAGCUCGUAUUCCGCUUUCUUGACGAGGCCACUCUCGAACCAUCUACCAAACAGACAUAUGGUUCCAUGUUAAAAAAUCUCACAUUUGUCAAGACAUUUGCAUCUGGAAUACUUGUCCCGAAGAAGUAUAUCUGGCCUGUUUCACCAGAUAAUUAUCUGCAACCAUACACUUCAAUCGUCGAUGAUGCUCAUAAAGCAGGGUUGGAAAUUUAUGCUGCUGAUUUUGCAAAUGACUUUACGCUCAGUUACAACCAUAGCUAUGAUCCAUUAACAGAAUCUCUCUCGUUCAUUGAUAAUGGUGCAUUUUCUGUUGAUGGAAUAUUGACUGAUUUCCCUGUUACACCUUCAGAGGCCAUUGGUGAGUAAUUUUUUGUUUUGGCAAUGGUGCAUGUUUGGCCCUAAAAAAUAUGCAUGCACUGUUUUCGGAAAUGAAUGCAUGCACUUAUGAUUUUGAGAAGACACGAUUUUGGAUUCUCUUAACCUAAUAACAGUAGUAGUAAUAAUAUACUCCCUCUGUUCCUAAAUGUAAGAAGUCCUAACUUUGUCCUAAGUCAAACUUCUUAAACUUUGACCAAGUUUAUGGAAAAAUCUACCAAUAUCUAUCACUUUAAAAUAGUUUCAUUAAAUCCAUCAUGGUAUAUGUUUUCAUAAUAUACUUAUUUGAUAUUUUAGAUAUUGAUACAUUUUUCUAUAAACUUGGUUAGGACAAAGCAUGGAACAGAGGUAGGAGUUUUUUUUUAAGGAAAGGAGGUAGUAGUUGUUAACAGGACCUCAACCUAAUAACAGACCUAUGAAUCCUAAUAAGAUAUAUGUACUACUAGUAGUAUUUGACUCAAGGCCUGCAAUUCUGAAAAUAGAGAUUGGAAGCAUGCUUGGCAAAGUAUCCAAACUAUUACUACUACCAAAAGGGUGCUAUUACUCCUCUGGUACUGGAUUAGUUUUUCAGUAAAAAGGAAAAAAAGAAAGAGCAUUUUGCAAUUAUUUAGAAAGAAAAAAAAAACUUUUGAGAUGGAUGUUCCAAAAUCCGUUCCGUGUUUUGAAUCUGUAUUCAAACAAUUUAUUUGAUGGAUGCCGCAUCGAUUAUGCUUCUCAUCCCACUCUGUUCUCUAUUUUGUUUCUGCAGGCUGUUUUGCCAAUUUAAACAAAAGCAACACAGAUCAUGGUGUGUACUGCUCCUCUGUUCCAUCUUUCAUGCUUCAUGUUCAGUUUUCUUACUGACCACCACUUUUAACAUUUGGCAUUCAGGGAAACCUUUAAUUAUUUCCCACAAUGGUGCUAGUGGAGAUUACCCAGGCUGCACCGAUCUAGCUUACCAAAAAGCAGUUGACGAUGGUGCAGAUGUAAUUGAUUGUCCUGUUCAAAUCACCAAAGAUGGCAUACCAGUAUGCAUGGGUUCCAUUAAUUUAAUGGAUGGUACUACUGUUGCAAAAUCACCAUUUGCUUCCCAGAUAGCAGUGAUGAAAGAUAUUCAGAGUGUGCUAGGAGUCUUUACUUUCAACCUCACUUGGGAAGACAUUGUGAAGAAUCUAAAACGUAAGUUGUAUUGAAAUGUAUCUGUAAUUCUUCGUAUUAAAGCAUACACAACAAUAUAUAUUUUGGUACCCUAGGCAAAUACAGAUAAACUAAUUUGUUCCCCGCAAAAAAAAAGAUAAACUAAUUUGUUAGAUCCUGAAUCACCUACCUGAUUUUGUAUCGACUUAUGUCGCCUACUUGUGUAUUUUGUUAACCAGGCAGACAUUAUUUCUCUGCUAUCAUCUGUUUGAUAUAUCGUUGCCAUUGAGCAUUUGCUGCAAGACUAAUUUCUCUUCAUCCUAACAGCCAAAAUAUCAACCCCUCUUAGCACCUUCGCUUUGGACAGAAAUCCAAGAUACAGGAAUGCAGGAAAUUUCAUGAGAUUAUCGGACUUUCUGGACUUCUCAAAAGAUAAGGAUUUAUCAGGAAUCAUGAUUAGCAUAGAGGUGAGAAUUUUAUGUUAUGAUCGCAUAAACGGAACCGUUCCCUUCAUGUGAUAGUAUCACUUGUUUUUACUUAGUAAGGUUAUUAGUAUAUUCUGGAUACUGGUUACAUGUUUCCAUACUUAUGCACUCCAGGUAUCGAAUGAUCUGUAAAAAUUGAUGUUCUUACCGAGUUCUGGUAAUAGGUUCAUGUUCUCAAUUAACAUAAAAUUUCUAUGUUGCAGCAUGCUGCUUUUUUAGCAGAGGAACUUGGAUUUGACAUGGUAGAUGCAGUUAUCAAAGCGCUUGACGCUUCCGGUUACAACAAACAAACUGCCCAGAAAAUUAUGAUUCAAUCAACGAACAGCUCAGUUCUGGUGAAGUUCAAGCAGCAAACGAAGUAUGACCUUGUGUACAUGAUCAAUGAAGAUGUCAGGGAUGCCGCGCCCUCCUCACUUGCCGAUAUUAAAAAGUUUGCCAGUGCUGUUUCUGUCGAUACCGGCUCUAUUUUCCCUGAAAACCACCAUUUCUUGACAUCCCCGAGCGGUCUUGUCCAGUCCCUGAAGACCGCUAAUCUCUCGAUCUACGCCUAUACUCUCAUGAACGAGUUUCUUUCUCAGCCAUACGACUUCUUCUCAGAUGCGACCGCACAGAUCAAUGCAUAUGUUCAGGGUGCCAAAGUGGAUGGGCUAAUUACUGAUUAUCCUGCGACAGCACGGAGAUACAAACGUAUGUCUUGAUUUACAUUCUCACAUUGUGCAUUGUGCAUCCUAGAAAGUUCUCCGCGGUUCUCGAUUUACAUUCUCACAUUAUGUUUCCAUUUUGCAGUGAACGCCUGCAAGAACAUGGGGAAAAAAGCACCAAGCUUCAUGGCCCCUGCUCGCCCUGGUGAUCUGCUGCAGAUCAUCAGUAAACCGGCGCAGCCACCAGCAUUGGCCCCGAUGCCGCUUCUAGUGGAUUCAGACGUGACGGAGCCACCCCUACCUGCAGCCAGAUCAAACAAUGGCACAGCUCCAGCACCUUCAUUUGCAUGGAGGAUGGAGACUCGUGUCCCAAUUCUUGUCACGUUGGCAGUGCUCUGUGCCUCUGUCCUGAUCUGAGAUUGCAGCUCAGCAUGACACAGCUAGAGAUAAGCGAAUAUGCCAAUCUACUAAUCCGAUAUCUUUUUUUCUGCUUCAGUAAUUUUUUGCGGUGAGGGGUUGCCCCCGUGGAACUCUCCCUAGUGUUUAUCAGUACAUAUGUGUUGGAAUAUAUUCUCAAUGUUAUGGACCAAGUGUCUGUAAAUCAGAUGGUAUAGUUCUCUACAAUCUGAAUCUCCGAGGCAUCAUUAUUUUGUUCUGGAAUCUGAAUAGUACGUGAUGUCUGUCUCUGAAUUAUGAUGGUGUCAUGCUGUGCCAUGUGCCACAGCAGAUGGGGCAUACAGGUUGCCAAGCGACUAUCUUUGAUCCCAUCUCAAUAGAUGUGUUAUAUAUGGCUCGAAUUGAAGGAAUCGUCAGAUAUGAAUUGAAUAGCAAUAUUAAUUCGCAGGGUUCAGGAAACCAACUAUGAUUGCGAUACGACGGCUUCUUGAGUUCUAUAUUAUCUGGUGAUAUAUCAUUACAUGUCACAUGAAACUACACCAGAUAAUAUUUGAUUACACCACAAGACAAGCAUGCCAACCUUUGGAUGUUAAGAAACUUCUCUAUGAAACGUUGCGCAAAGAAACCACUUGAAAAUAACUUCUGUAUUCUGCCCCCGAGAAUCCUAUGAUAGAGAGACUAGUCCCAGAUACUUCAUCCUUCCUAGUCCGUGCAUCCUAUCAAUCAGCACAGAAUAAAUGAAUGCGAGCAGAAUACGCGGCGGAUGGGAGGAGGAUGGUACGUACGCAGAGUCGGUAGUAGAGACGGUACCUGUAAGCUUGGUUCUCGAUUCUCCACUCAUCGGUAGCCUUGUUCGUGAUAACAACAGCGACGGAUCACGGAUGCCCCGUCGGGAUGUGACCUGCAAAAGAUGGGUGCUUCACGCGGCGGCAGCAAACGCAAAAUCUGUUGAAAAUUAGAAGGAUCGGCCGAUCGGGGACAACCGAGUAUAACUCCCCGCUAGUAACUUGAGAUCUCAGGCAACGAUAUCACUUCUAACCGAUCCGUCUCGCUUGCAAAGUUUCAUCAAUAGCUUUCAUCGGAUUUCCUAUAAAAAAAGAAGAGUUUUCAUCAGAUUCACUGGCCUCACCGGCUGAUAAAAAAGUGUAACAAAUAACGUGUAAAAUCUCAUUCAAGUCUCUCCCUGACUUCGACUUGAUGAAGAAUCUCAUUCAAGUCAGCCAGAAAGAUGUCCAGGACCCUGUGAGCAUCUUCCUUCUGAACAAAAUACACUGCACAGCAGUUCGGUUCUUCCUGCGUGCCAUUGAUGCAAUAAUGACAAUUACAUAAAGGCCAUUGAUCUACCUGUCACUCCAGAACUCGAUUUUCUGCCCAUCCCCCAACUCAGUGUGCCCAAUGCUGCAUAUAGUUUCACCGUCAGUUGAUCAGUCUCGAUGCAGGGUCUCAAUCUAGCCCCUUCCGGAAACCAGCUGCGAUGACAUUCUUCAACCUUCUUCAGUAACCACUUGGUACAACAUGUGCUAUUCUGUUCAAUGCGCUGCUAGCCAACCGGGCAUCGGGCCAUCGCUUGAUUCUGAUUUAAAUUGGACAAGCCAGCACACAGCGUGUACUACUCUCAUACAUCAGGUAAUUCCAACACCGCAAUUGGAACUAGCACAAAGUGUACUACUCACGCAUCAACUUACCAUACAGAUUCUUCAGGGAAAGUUGCAGCUUAAAGGAAGAUAAAACAGUCCACUUGAGUUCAGGUCACAGUCAAUCAAUGCGUUGAGCCUCAGAUUGUUGAAUGCAGAAGAGAGUUGCUCAGGAUCCAUAUCUGAAACAAGUAAAACAGGGGCAGCAGUGUCAAGCCACCCCCAAACUGACAUACACACAGAACUAGGUUCACUCUAUCAUCCUUUCCGAAGAAAGAUGAUAGAAAGCCAUAGCAUUUGAAUGAUAAAAGGCCAUGGUCACCAGGAGAUGCACAGAUCAACAUAUAGUAGGCACCUUCUAGUGAAACAGAAACAUAUGAUGUACAUACAUAAUUUACCCACAUUGGACGAUACACUUUAAAGAGCACAAAAACCAGGGAUAGUUUUACGAUUUCUUGGCUACCAAUGACUAAAACGAAAUAGAAUUACAACUGAGAGGGCCUAAUGCACAAUAGGAAGCAUUCUAACACGUCACUCCAGCAACAGCCGGAGCAGGAAUUAUUUCUUACUAGACUAGGCACAGGCAACCAGUCCAUUAUACGAUAAUUAUUAAUUCACUAUAUCCAUCAUCCGAUUAUUGUCUCUGUUGAUUAUUCCUUCGUCAUCCAAUUAUUAUCUGAACAGAUGACGAGAAUCCUUUUGUGAGAUGCUCCCUAAUGCGAUGCUUGCUAGCUUCAUCCACUACAAAUCUUGGAGGCUCACGCUUAAUGGCUUUGCACAGAUUGCAUGGGUCCUUAUCACGCAACUCAAUUCUCUUCAAGACCACCGCUCGUGCCAUGACAAGCCUUACGUAAUUCAUAACCUUGUCUUCCUCUUCAAACCCUCUUAUCACCAGUAACUUCAAGUUCAAGUGCUUUAAAUCCUUGGAUGAUUCCCAGACCAUAUUGGUCUUCUCAGCACUGUCCUCGGACUUACUGAGUUCACAUGGAUGCCGAGCUAACUUCAUGCACAUAGAAGAGAAACAUGUAUAUUACAUUAAAAAUUAGCAUCAACCUCAACAUUAGUAUUUGAAACGCAGAACAGCAGUAAUGGCACGAGUUAAGACUUGCAGGUAAAUGAUGCUCCCUUGAAAAAGUUAGACGCCUCUUUGGUAUCAUUUUUUUCCCGAAGAAUUUGCAGAAAUUGAAAAAUAUCAAACCCUUAGGAACAAAGGAAUGAUUUCCAUGGAUUCAAAUAAAAUGAGUAAACUAUGGCACCAUAGGUACGAAUUUUGAGGAAUCUUUUUUUUUUGCGAAGAAAAUUUUGAGGAAUCUAACAUGAGGGUAGACCCAAGGGCGGGCCUACGGCCCGUGCUACCCAGGCUGUAGCACGGGUACAGCCCAUGUAGUGGAUACAGGAUAUAUGACUUUUUUAACCCAUGUAAUUGGUUAGCCCCUCUAUCGGCCCAGCAAAGCACCCCAUUCAGCCCAACAUGUCCACACCGCACACGGCAGCCCAGGUGUCGCUCGAUACGCCUGAUCGAUCAACUAGCGCGACUCUUCGUCUGCCCCAGGCGAUUCCCAAAUUUCCAGGUACAGUACUGUAAAAGAAAUCAAAGCCGCCCCAACCCCCAAGUCCCCCAACCCUAGUCUCCCAAAAUCGAUCCCUAGCCAACUGCACCCAGCGCGAUCUGCACCCGGCGGCAGUCUGCAACUCAAGUCAACUGUCCAAGCCGUAGCACGAGCGAACGGCACGGCAGCUAGCGCUACAGGUUUGUGUUUCUUCUUGCAUUAGAACUUUUGAUGGCUAGAUUUUUUUUAAAAAGAAGAGCUUUUGAUUGACUCAAGAUCCGUCAUCGGUGGUUGUUGUUUGUUGAGGUCUAACUAGCUUAUGAUAUUGGGAUGAUCCCGGGCUUCGAAAGCCAAUUGAAGAUUGUGAUCUUGAAAUUAGAGAUGAAGCUAGGAGUGCUGGAUCAAUCCACUGCUUUCCUAAUUGGUAUUUAUCUAAACAGAAUGCAUUUUCAUGUCCUUAGAUUAUCUUUUAUGGUUGUAGAGACGUUGAAGUAUUUGGUACGUUGAUUAAGUACUUUUACUUCGUACUCCUUAGCGUACAAUUUUAUUAUCAUCUAGCAAAAUUUUGAGUGUACGAUAAGUUUAGCCCCCUCUUUUGUUCGUUCCUGGGUCCGCCACUGGUUAGACCUCAUGGGAAAAAUCAUUUAUAUCUUGCAUCGAUAUUGUUCUCUGAAAAACUGCUAUGGAGAAUCCAAGCAGGUUGGAUCAUCAUUAUCAUACAACUCAUGAGAUCUCCCUAUUCCCGCGUCCCAAAGAGGCCUGCAUGUACUACUUUUACUAUUUUCACAAGAAUACAAUGUUGAGUAGUUUAAAUUAAUACUAUUAGUCUAUUACAUACUCCUGGCCUAGUUGUAUAUUGUUAUUACUGAAUAUCUGGAAAAUACAUAAUGCAAUUUUUGUUAUUUCCAGGCCAAGUAUUGGACCAGAAGGAGCAAAAUAACAGGCUUACAUAGAAGUUCUCGACGGAAGGUGCCCCUUCAAGGAUAAACAUAGUCCAAUCUAGAUUGCACUCAAAAAGGAUACCGUAAAGAUGCACAUCUCUUAGUUUGCUGAAUAUAGGAGUGAGCUGGUGUGGACCUUCAGGUUUAAUCCAAAUCUGCAGCAAAAAGAAAAAAUUAAAUAUGGAAAAUAUGACAUUAAGCAUUGAAAUAAACAAACAUGAUUUUAUUGUAGUAGAAACUUACCAUCUGAGUGCGAAAAUUCAAAUGGAGGAUCGACAGAUUUCUGUUACUAGAUAAACACUCGCUCAACGUGAAAGGUACCUGCCCAGAUAGGGCAGGAGAAGCGAAGCCUACUUUAUCAAGCUGAGGAACAUAGCCAAAAAGCACUGGAGGGUUUUCACCGUACCAUGUAUCGUACACCAGUCGCAUGAGUUUAGGAACACAGAUUAGCUCGACUUGUGCGCACCCAAAAUAAAUAAAUUUCAAGUGCCCUGAGAUCCGAACAUGGGGCAUCUAUCUUGAGGACAGGGUCCUGGCCCAAUUCACAACAUCUCAAGGAAAGAAGCUGAAGUUUAUUGCAAGUGUCGAGGAUGUUGGGGACAUCUGAGUCCUCGAACACAAGGUUCUGCAGGGUCAGUUUUGUGAGUAAUUUGAAAGCACCAGGGCAAGCAUGGAGGAAUGACACAAACCGCUGUCCGAAUAAUACUAGUUGAGCUUCACUUGGAAAUUCAACAUGUUUAUUUAUCGCAAACUCCAGGAAUUCUAUCUCACCGCUCUUCGCUGCAUCCCUGACCGCAUGACCAAUAGAGGACAAGUAAGGGUCUGCCAGGUAGAAACUGAGCUGCACGGUCUUGAUGGUUCGAAUGCAUUUGCAUGUCUGAGGAGACAGCAAUCUCCUUGUUGCAUCAGUGUAAGCUGUCAUUACCUGACCCAAUGUGCAGCCGGGGACUUGAAAGUCCAAGGCAUUCAUUAUCAGAUACGAGAGCUGAUGAGGGAGGUGCAUCCAUCGCUUGGAGAGCACGCUGGUCUGAACUGCCACACCCAUAGCAAGGAAUUCAAGGAUGUGGAGUAGAAGUUCAUCGGGGAGUGCACUGAUCCUAUCUUCAUCUUUGCUCACACUAAUUCUAUCUUCAUCUCUGACCUGCAAAACAGUUAACCGAAUUAAACAUGUUGAGGAAACAGAUGCAACAAAAUAAUGGGAAAAAAAAAUCCCAUUAGGCCCAUGUAUUCCAGGGUAUACGUAUCUCGAGGAUGCAAUAGAGAAAUUGAUUUGGCAAUUCCCCAAAUUUGUCAACAAUAAUACUGGUAACUAAAAGCCGAGUCUGAGAAUUAGGAGGCCUACCGACAAGAAAGUCGAAGGGGUAAUUAAUGAACUUACCGAGUUGUGCGGUGACUCCAUAAUUUGACUUGGACGCCGCAGGAGAUCGAUUACUUGGUGCUAAUCAAUCAAGGAUAUAACACAUGCAGCGGCAGCAGGCCUAGCUUUGUUGUCGAUUGCAACUUAUAAAACGGCCGGCCUUGCAGCUUAGGACGUGUUUUGGUUCAAGAAUAGUAAUGCAAACAUAAUUGUAAUAGGAUUACACCGACAAUAUAAACAGAACGAGCAUAUAUAUGGUCCGAAAUAUUUCCACGAACUGAGAUAUAAUGAGACCACCUGAUUAAUCCAUACCUAGCAGUAAAUUUGCAAAGCAAGUCAGGAUUUAGGGGGGGGGGGGGGGGUCCCAUUGGAAGCCCUUCGAAAUAGCAGAUGAAGGGAUUGAGCAUCGAACGCAUGAGCGGUACUGCAUAUCAGCGGCAGCCCCGCACCGCACCGAUUCGAUGCCUCCGCCAUCGCUCGACUGAAGCCCUAGUACCAUCGUCCGGAUCGAUCGACGCAAAGCCACACAGGGCGGAGGUGCCAGUGAAGCAAGCUAUGCGCCCGCCACACCUUGAUCAGUCGCAAUUAUUCCUACCCCUGCCUCCCUCCGAUUCAAUAGAACGACCGGCGGCGCCAUUAGGAGCUCGAGUUCCCUGUUGUCGCGGUCGGUUGGUGGAGACGGAACGAACAUUCUGUCCUUGGGCCGUUGGGUCAUGAAGUAGGCUCCUAGUUGACGAGGCCUACUUGUGUAGUAGUAGUAGCCUUGAUCAGCCCAAACUCAAGGCAAUGCAAGCCCGUUUCGGUUUUAACUUUUUCGAUUUCUCUCUCUAGAACACUAGUACGGAGUAAUUCCGAUUUGAGCUGAGCUAUGAAACCAAAAAGUUUACUACCGUGUCUAAGAAAAAUGGGACCCAUAGACUAACUAUACGUGUGUGCGUAGGAAAUGAGUCAUAUCAUACACCGGUCCACAACUCCACAUCAAAAUUUGCCACCGCGCAAGCAGCAGCCAGCGGCACGGCAUGAAUUAGCACUGCAUGAGGGUGACUGAUGGAGGUACGAGAAAACAACAUGAAAAAUGUAUUGCAUCCGUCGGCAAAAUCAGAGACUUCACCUAUUUUAAGUCAUUUUUAACGAGCUGAUUAGUAACUAUUAAGUAAACUAACAUUUCAUUGGGGGCAAAUCCCCGGACCAUACAUCGUGCUAAAAUAAACAUGUUCUCUCGUAAGGCUGCUACAACUGUGUUCGAAAUUAUGCGAUUCUCCUAAUCACAUUUGUUCAAUCUACUUUUAUUAUUUGCAAAACCAUUUUUUGUCUACUUUCGUUCGUAUUUUCAGAAAGAACGUAGUUUAUCAAUUAGAAAUUAGGCUAAAUAUAUGACCUAAUUACAGUGAAAAUUCAUGAACCAAACACUUAAAAAAAUCAAAUAUGCUUGGAAUUGUAAGUGAGAAAUAGAAAAAAAUAUAUGCUUGCUUUCCAUUAGUUAAUAACAAAGCUACGAGGAAUCAAACAUGUUGCUCUACCUUCUCGCAAAAAAAAACAUGUUUCUCUACCACUACAGUUAGACAAAUAAUUUGUUAUGUUUAUCUAAAAUUUAUUUUUUGCCUGAUAAGAAGAUUUUUCUCGGGAAAGGAAGUGGUAAAUGUGGUUACCGGGUUGUGACGUGAAAAUGUGCCCGCUAACAAAAAGUCCUAGUUCAUAUAUAGCCCAUGAUACUAUGAUAUGUGCAAACAUUUGCAAGUUACAACAAUUCGUAGAGUAGCAUUAAACUAGUGGAUAAAAUUUAUGAAGUAUAAUUGUUUUUGCAUUGUAAUGAUUGUUCCAUUUGGAUCUGCUUUUUUACACAAGUUAUCAAAUGUCAACCUCUAGGGUCCAUCUUGGUUAGAUUAGGUGCUUUAGGUCAAAGGCUUAACCCCCAUAAUUAUUUGAGUUAGCUUUCACAAAUUCAAAUUUAUGCAUAAUUUGGGUAAUCGGACUAGCAACCUUACACAAAAUUAAGAGUUACUAGCAAAAAGCCCCGUGCGUUGCUACGGAAGGAAAGAAAUUGAAAAACAUGCUAACUUAAGUUUUCAGAAGUGGUAUCUUUUGCACGUAGCUAUGUAUUGAGAGCAACUCUAGCAGUUAGCGAAAUUUCUGAUCGAAAAAACGUUAAUUCAAUCUACUGAAAACGCUUUUUCUGAUAUAAUUUCAUAUUUUAUAAUUUUUAGCCCAUAUGAACAUUAUGUUAGCCCCGACGAGAUGCUGCUCUCCCUUCGCUCCAUCACGCAUCUCUGCGAUGCCAUGCCACAUAUAUUGGGCCUGUUUCAACCAUGAUCUUUAAGGAAAAUCAAUGAUCCAGCACAUCAUCCAUUAGUCAUAUGAUCAAGUCCAAUCGGGUCAAAAAAUAGAUCUAGGAAAAUGGUAAAAUUAAAAUCAUAUACGGAGGGGAAUUAAAUCAAUGGAAUUUUCAGAGCAGAUCCAUGUCCUAAUUAAAUUUAGAAAGCAUGGUCUGCAUGUACCAUCAAUUAGGCCAAGAUUUCAGCAAAAAUAAAGAAAAAAAUAGAGAAUGGCGUCGGUAGUAGCAGCGCCAGAACGCCCGCUUGGGAGCAGCUGCUGCUGCGGCGUCGCUGGAGGAAGGCGCCCGCACUACCGCCAUGCCCAUCUCUGCCACCACGCAUCGGAUCCGCAGCCGCGGCGCGCCGACGACCAGCUAAGAAGGUGCCCGACCGAUCCGCCGAGGAGCGGGCGCCGCGGACGAUCUUGACGACGCAAGCCGGACGGAGGCCGGACGAAGGAGCGGCACUGUUGUCUUCCCCACGCGGAUCCUCGUCACUGGGAUCUGGCCGUCAACGGGACCCGGUCGCUCCGCAACUGGCAGCGUGUCGUCUUACGCCUCCACCUAGUCGUUGAACGCGACCCGGCCUCUCCUGAUCUUCUGCAGCGCCACCGCCGAGCUCCACCUACCUCGCUCGCGGCUCGCCCCGCCUCUGCCAGAACACACCGUCGAUCUCCUCCACAGACUACAGCCGGCCGUCCAGAUAGAUGAAGAGGGAAGGGGGCAGGGGCUUGGCGUCCUUGGUCCAGAUCGGGAGCACCGGAGGAGCGAAGAGGGCAGGGGCCGCUGGGCCACCAGAUGCCCAGAUCGAGUCUCCUCGGGACUCGGGAGGAGGAGACGGGGCAGGGGAUGAGGACACGAGAGUGGUCGCGCGGUUCAGAUCGGUAGUAGAGAGACCGGAGAAGGACUGGAGAGAGGGCGGUGCGGCGGGGGAGAGCAGUGGCGGCGGCGGCAUGGAGAACGAGCAAAGAUGGCGAUGAAGGGAGGAGUUGGACUUCGUGGAGGAGGCGGAUCGAGCGGUGCGAGGAAGAAGAGUUUGGGGAGGAUAAAUCGAGGGGAUAGGUGCCAGAGGUAGAGGGGACAGGGGUCGGGCCGCGCGCCCGCGUGAGAGGGUCGUGCGGAAAGUAUCGAGGACGUACGACGGUGGUUAGAAUCAAUCGGAUAAAAAACGUUUCGGGAUUAAAAGUGGUGACAACGGUGGUAAAUUCGUAAUUUUGGUGAAGUGACGUACGGCUGCGACCGUACCAUUACCACCAACUCCAAUUUAAUAUAUUGUUAUAGAUACGAAUGUAAUGAAAUCAAGGUUAAUCUAGUUAACAUAACCCGAGCCAAAGAGGGUCUUAACAAAAUCACUUUUCCUUGUGCUGCUUGUGACAAACAACCCUUAUAAUUUUGGCAAACAAACUGACAAAGACUUAACAUGAUCACACCACGAUGGGUGGAUUAAACAAGCUGCUCAAAUCGUGAUUGUUAACUCUUGGUUUCCUUAGCAGGCUAAAACCCAAGAUCGGCACAAUUUAUUAUAUGUUCACGAGCACUCGUUAUAAGUAUUAGCAUACAACAUACCAUCAACGUUCCAACACAUUAUCAUAAUCUAGCAAGUCAAAAUACCAACGAUGCAACACAUUAUUAUAACCUAAACUUAAUAUAAGGAGAUGCAAUAGAUGAGGAGUACGAGUAACAUGGCAAGUUAUAGUCGAUAUAUGGACUUAUUUGAAAUUUGCCGAUGCAUAAGAAAGAUGAUUAUGGGAGAGGAAAAACAUACUUUUCGUAAAGAUACACUCUUAACCAAGAGUCGAAUAUUUUACAUUAUACAAUAUCAUAUUUAAUGCUAUUUUUUUGAAAAGGAGGGAAUACCCCCUGCCUCUGCAUUUAAUCCUAAUAAUUUAUUUAAAAGUUGAAACAUGCAACUCAUUAUAUAUCUUAUUUUAACAUUGAUUCUAAGCGAUGUCGAGAGUCAACACUAGCUCUGUGAAUGUCCUAAUACGUCACUAGACAAAGGCUCCCUUCUUUUCGGCUUCAGCUUAUCCAGAAACUAGCUUCAGCUGAAUUUUUUAGGGAAGCUGUUGCCACAGGAAACCCUGAGAAGCUAUCAUAUUCCCUUCUUUUCAACUUCUGGAGAUGCAGGUUGUUGUUUGAUUUAAGCAGGAAGAGUCGAUAAUGCCCCUGCCGUCAAUUGACUCGUGUGUUAAUCGCUGGUAACCAACAAAAGGCUCUAUGUUUUUAUACACAUCCAUCACAUAACAGAAAUUUGCAUCCUUUUCUUUUUGCAUCUCUUCACAACAAAUACACACCAGAACAUCUUUGCUCACUGCAUGUGCACAUUUCAAAAGAUCCUCACAACCAUUGGCAUCUACAUAGAGAUCACAUCAAACAACAUUCUGAGAAAUUGAUCCUAAACUCUCCACAAUCAUCUGCAAAAACAUUUAUGAGAAAUUGAGGCAAAUUACAUCAAAACUCCAGGAGCAUUAUCAAGAUUUCAAACUUUUAAAAUGGCAACCAAAUCACAAGUUUGGUGGGGUCUUACAUUGCGAGCGUCCGGUAGGAGACGGCUCGAGUUUGCGACGGGCGAGAACGCCAGGUUGCGAGACGCCAUCGCCAGCAAGAAGCGAGGCCGCGACGCAGGCGCACGCCAAGGAUCUCGAAGAUCUCGACUCAGGCAAGGUGAUGGCGGCGAGACGCAAGGACAUGAUGUUCUUGUCCCUUAGCAACAUUGCGGAGCUCAGAUCCACGGCAGGGGAGGCAAAAAGAUUCGCGCAGUGGAACUUGGCCGGCAUUUUGGCCGUAAAAACGGUUCGCCGUGAGGGCAAGACAGAAAAUGCUGUGCGGAUCCUAAAAACUGGUCGACACCAGUUUUUCCCAGCAGCUAUGUUUACACAUGAUUUCAGUUGGCCUAGAAGCCCAGAAGAAGGGGGCCAAAUAUCGGUUGGACUUGAGGCUUGAAGACCUGAGAUGGAUAGUAAAAUGCUACUCCCUUUGUUUUUUAAAUUAAGACCUAUAUUGUUUCCUUUGAGCGAGAUUUUGACCAAAAAUUACUCCAUCAAUCUUGUGACUUAUGUGAUAUACUCUUGAAUACGAAUCCAAUGAUAUCAAUUUUAUUUCACAAUAUAUAAUAGACUAAAUCUUGAUCAAAAGUUCGGUUAAAGAUAACAAUAUAACCUAAUUUAAUUUAAUGAACGAAGGGAGUAGAUAGUAGAUUGGUCUGAGCUGCUGACAAUAUUAAUGAGCUUAACUUGCAGCUCACCACAGAUAUCAAACUCGACUGGAUCUGUCUUUUUAUAAACAAACCUAGUAAGCCUCUGAAAAACAAGCCUAGUAAGGUUAAAAAAACAAGACAGAGAGCUGGACCGCUGGUUAAACUCGGGUAGUGGGUAUGUGGCAUACUCGCAGCACCGAUCAUACGGGCUUGCGCCGAGCGAAACGCAUCUCACAAGUCACAACUCACAAGCCACAGGCCGCGAGGACACGCCCGUGCGCCGGUGCGCGGGGCCAAGUAGGAAACGUAAAAGAGCCCCCAAAACUUACGCCCCUGCACCCACACGCGACAGUCCCAGACUCCUCCAAUACGGGAACCCGGCGCUCCCUCCCCACAGCCCUGGUGCCGCCCCCCUCCCCUCCCCGCAGCUUCCGUCUCGCACCUCGCGACGCGGCCGUUAACCGCCGCCACGGGCCGUCUCCGCCGAACCCCGGAUUGUCGGAGCGGGCAGGGAGGCAAUCUAUCUAGGGUUCCCGAUGGACGGCGCGGAGCGGACGUUCAAGGCCAACUUCAGCGCCGAGGGGGUGGCGCUGCUGCGGGAGCGCGUGAGGGGGAAGCUCAAUGAGGUCCUCAAGGAUUACACUGACGACACCCUCGUGGUGAGCCCCCAUCCAUCUCCCGCCUCCUCCGCAUCCCCCCACGCGCAGCGAUGCGAUCCCCAAUCCAUUGCUAAAACCCUAGCGGUUAUAUCGGUACAAUUCACUUUUGUUGGGGCGGGCGGAUAAGGUUAGCCGAAUGUUUGGAUUUCGCUGGAUCGUGCGGGAUGGCGGAAUCGGGCUAUUUUAUGCUCGCAGACAGUGGCGUGCUAUCUGCAUUGGGGUUUAGUGCGGUUCAUGUGUUUUGAGAUCGUUUGACGACCCCCCCCCCCCCCCCCCCCCCACCCCAAUUUUAGGCCCUUCAUUUGACCAUCGGAGUAGAUAGUGUUCGCAGUAUAUGUGACUGGAUUGCGUGUUUUAAGGGAGCAUGAGGAAAUUAGCUAACUAUUAUAGGCUGGCGUGGAGUAGUUUGCUUGUUGAUCAGUAGUACUGAGUUCAAGUUUUUGUCCGGUUUUUAGUACUUCCAAUGUUUAAUCGGAUUGACAAUCCUCUGUGCAUUCAUUGGCUGAAUUUUGGAGUUUUAGUUUUUUUGGUUUGUUCUGCAUGUUAUGACCUGUUGUGGCCUACAUUGGUUGGUGAAGGUCUUAAAUGAUUUGUUAUUAAGCAUGUUACAAACCACUGAGAUUGAUGAUCUAACUAUGUCUUCUUGCUACACAGGAAUAUGUCGUGGUAUUACUCAGAAACGGAAGAAGGAAGGAUGAGGCUGCAAAAGAGCUGAAGGUUUUCUUGGACAAGGACAAUGAUGCAUUUGUAUCCUGGUUAUUUGCUUGCAUCCCAAUCUUUGGACUUCAGUUCUUUUGCUACAUACUUAUUCUAGCAAUACUGAGAAUCCAACGUUCAUGCAGGUUGUGGGAUCAUCUCUCUUCAAAUUUGCACCUUUAUGUGCAGCCCAAAGCUGUCUCUACUAAUGAUGAAUCUAAAAAUACCCGCAGUACUGCUAGAGGAUUGCCUAUACAUAGUUCGUCUAGCAAUAUACAGACUAGUCGUGAACCUGAAGCUGAAA
rnacentral:lncRNA from 1 species